UUUCUUGAUAUUGCAUGCUUCUUCAAAUAUAAGGAUGAAAAAUUUGUUACAAGAAUACUAGAAGGUUGCAAAUUCCAUCCCAAGAUUGGACUAAGAGUUCUUGAUGAGAGAUGUCUUAUCUCUAUAACGUACGGCACUAUAAGGAUGCAUGACUUGUUACAAGAAAUGGGUUGGGCAAUUGUUCGCCAAAUUGAUCCAGAAUGUCCUGGAAAAUGGAGCAGAUUGUGGGAAUUACAAGAUAUUGAAAGUGUAUUUACCCGAAAUAAGGUAAGAGAAAAAUACAUGAAUAUACUUGAGACCUAAAGACAUAAAAGAUUCAACAAGAUUUAUUUUUAUUAUUAUUAUAGUCUGAGUACCUUAUCUAUAUAAUUUUAUCGAAUCCCUAUGCAUCUUAUACUACUUUUUCUCAAUGCUUGUUUUCAGGGGACAAAAAACAUUGAGGGGAUAUUCAUAAAUCGGUCUUGGGAUACAAAAAAACGUAUACAACUUACUGCUGAAGCUUUCAGAAAGAUGAAUCGACUUAGAUUGCUCAUAGUUAAAGGCAAUAUGGUGCAGCUUUCCCAAGACUUUGAAUUGCCUUGUCAUGAUUUAGUAUAUUUUCAUUGGGAUAACUACCCUUUGGAAUAUUUGCCAUCAAAUUUUCAUGUAGAAAAUCUUGUUGAACUUAACCUCUGGUACAGCAACAUAGAACAUCUUUGGGAAGGAAACAUGGUAUUGCUAUUAUUUAGUUAUAUUUUUGCUCUAGACUAAUUUUAAAGUCUUUUGAAGUUUACUUAUUGAAACGAAUUUUCUUCUGUUACAGACUGCUAGAAAGUUAAAGGUCAUUAAUCUCAGUUAUUCCAUGCAUCUGGUUGGUAUUUCAAGCAUCUCAAGUGCACCAAAUUUGGAGAUUCUAAUUCUAAAAGGUUGUACAAGGUUACUUACUUGUUUCACCCAUGCUUAAUGUUAUUAUUAGUCAUGAGCUAACUGUUUUCUUGAAUAUAAUAGGAUGCAAGAGACUUGAGAGUCUUCCAAGGAACUUUCAUAAGCUGGAAUGCCUUCAAACACUCUCUUGUGAUGGCUGUUCAAACUUAAAAAGUUUUCCGAAGAUCGAGGAAGAAAUGAGAAGUCUAAGAAAGCUUCAUUUAAGUCAUACAGGUAUAAUGGAAUUACCAUCAUCAAUUAGCAAUCUAAAUGGGCUUGAAAAGUUGGACUUAGGUUAUUGCAAAAACCUUUUGAGUCUUCCGGACAGUAUUUUUAGUUUGAGUUCUCUUCAAACUCUGAAUCUAUUUGAGUGUUCAAAACUAGUGGGCUUUCCGGGUAUCAAUAUUGGAAGUCUAAAAGCUCUUGAAUAUUUGGAUUUGUCAUAUUGUGAGAACAUUGAGAGUCUUCCGAACAAUAUUGGUAGUUUUAGCUCUCUUCAUACUCUUUCAUUGAUGGGGUGUUCAAAACUGAAGGGCUUUCCAGAUAUCAAUAUUGGUAGUUUUAGCUCUCUUCAUACUCUUUCAUUGAUGGGGUGUUCAAAACUGAAGGGCUUUCCAGAUAUCAAUAUUGGAAGUCUAAAAGCUCUUCAAUUGUUAGAUUUCUCACGUUGCAGAAACCUUGAGAGUCUUCCGAACAAUAUUGGUAGUUUGAGCUCUCUUCAUACUCUUUUAUUGGUAGGGUGUUCAAAAUUGAAGGGCUUUCCAGAUAUCAAUUUUGGAAGUCUAAAAGCUCUUCAAUUGUUAGAUUUCUCACGUUGCAGAAACCUUGAGAGUCUUCCCAUGAGCAUUUACAAUUUGAGCUCUCUCAAAACAUUGAGGAUUACAAAUUGUCCAAAACUCGAGGAAAUGUUAGAGAUUGAAUUAGGGGUUGAUUGGCCACUUCCACCUACAACCAGUCACAUUUCAAAUUCAGCAAUAAUCUGGUAUGAUGGCUGCUUUUCCUCAUUAGAAGCAUUAAAACAAAAGUGCCCCCUGUCAUCACUGGUAGAAUUAUCUGUAAGAAAGUUUUAUGGCAUGGAAAAAGACAUCCUCAGUGGCAGUUUCCACCUAUCCUCAUUGAAAAUAUUAUCUCUAGGGAACUUCCCUAGCAUGGCAGGAGGAAUCCUCGAUAAGAUUUUCCAUCUAUCUUCAUUGGUAAAAUUAUCUCUUACUAAAUGCAAGCCAACGGAAGAAGGAAUCCCCAGUGAUAUUCGGAACCUAUCUCCACUGCAACAAUUAUCUCUACAUGACUGCAAUCUAAUGGAAGGAAAGAUCCUCAAUCAUAUUUGCCAUCUAACAUCCUUGGAAGAAUUACAUCUGGGUUGGAACCAUUUUAGUAGCAUUCCUGCUGGCAUCAGUCGACUUUCCAAUCUAAAAGCCCUUGACUUGAGUCACUGCAAGAACCUUCAACAAAUUCCAGAGCUUCCAUCAAGUCUACGAUUUUUAGAUGCGCACUGUUCGGAUCGUAUUUCAUCAAGCCCCUCGCUUCUACCUAUUCAUUCUAUGGUCAAUUGCUUCAAAUCAGAAAUUGAGGUAUGAUUCUCAUGCCACGUUCCUUUUUCUUUCGUACCCAUUGGAUUUACAUGGUGCUUUUGUGCAGGACUGCGUGGUUAUUCAUCGUUAUUCUUCCUUCUGGGGCAAUGGAAUUGGUAUUGUUAUUCCUAGAAGUAGUGGAAUUCUAGAGUGGAUAACGUAUCGGAAUAUGGGAGGGCAUAAAGUAACAAUAGAGCUCCCUCCGAAUUGGUAUGAAAAUGAUGACUUGUGGGGAUUUGCUUUAUGCUGUGUUUAUGUUGCACCUGCCUGUGAAUCUGAGGAUGAAUCUCAGUAUGAAUCAGGUCUUAUAUCUGAGGAUGACAGUGACCUUGAAGAUGAAGAAGCAAGCUUUUAUUGUGAAUUGACAAUCGAAGGAAAUAAUCAAUCAGAAGACGUGGCUGGUUUCGUUCUUGAUUUUCGCUGUGUUAAGGAUGAUGUAUCAGAUAUGCAGUGGGUGAUAUGUUAUCCCAAGUUAGCUAUUGAGAAAAGUUAUCACACCAAUCAAUGGACACACUUCAAGGCUUCAUUUGGUGGGGCCCAAGUGGCAGAGUGCGGAAUCCGUCUGGUAUACACAAAAGAUUAUGAACAGAAACAUCCAACAAUGGCACAAGGCAGUACUUCUCAUGGGAAUUUUGGUGAGCAUGGAUCAGUAAGAGAAGAUGGCAGUACUUCUCAUGGGAAGUUUGGUGACCAUAGAUUAGUAAGAGAAGCUUUACUACUCUAAAGAUACUAAUAGUAAAGAUCACAAUAAAAGGAAUCCCACAGAACAGAGCCCAGGAGAGGAGUCACGUACACCAUAAAAGAUUCAGAGAAACCCAAGACUGAUCCCAAGCAUUAGGCUCAACCACACUUGCAUCAAUAAUGUUCUCUUCCUGGUAAUUCAUCUUCUUUUCUCUUUCAAAUUCAAAGGUCAGAAAUUUUUUUAUCAUGUUUCUCCUUUUUAUUUGUUUUUUCCCCAAGACAAACAAAAAUUUGUGGCUAUCAUCCAUGGGUGCAAACUUCAAUGGUACACCUCCCAAGUUUGUUUUUCUCUCUCUCCAACCGUCUCUCCCUAGAUUUUUCUGCAUUUUCUUCAAACUCAUAUUUCUAUAUGAAAUUCAAUUACAUUCGAGCAUUUCAAUCUCUGUAGCUAAUGUCUGAAUCAUUUCUAGGGUUUCUUUUUUCUGGAAGUUUGUAAUGUUAUUGAUUUAUGACUUGAUGUUUGGGGAUGUUUUGGGUGGCUUGUUCACUUUUUUAUAGCGAUGAUUUAUGGAACCAGAGUUUCUUAGCAGGAAAUGGAACUCGUGUGUUUUAGAAUAUUGGCGUUAUUUGCUUGUGCCCUGUUUGGUUGCUGAGAAAGAGUGGAAGGAGGAUGGAGAAUUAAAUAAUUUUCAAUCUAAGCAAUGAGAAAUUAGAUUUGGGUAUUUGGGCCAUUGGAGUUAUUUGCUCUUACUCAGUUUGGUUUCCAGGAAACUGCAGGCAAAGCAUGGAAAAUAAAGUAUUUUUAAAUUAAUUACCAGGAAAUGGAAUGUACGUAUUUGUCUCUUUGGAAUAUAAACAUCAGUAUUCACUCUUCAAGAAUGUAUAUGGUUGUUGUUUUGGAAUUUUGAAAUUACUUAGCAUCAGACAAUUUCUAACUUGGGAUUUGGAUUGGGAAUCAUAAGUAAUCAUUAGAGAGUAUAUGAGAAGGAGUUUUAGAGUAAGACAGGGUGAUGCAUGUUGAGGGAUGCGUCUCACCCUGGAGUUCUUUGGAAUAAUUAUAGGAUUUUGUAAGUAACUUUGGACUUAUUAGCAAUGUUCUGGAUUUGUGAAUAAUUUAUAGAAUACAUUGGGUGUUUUUUUUUUUUUUUUUUUUUGAGAGUGAAUAAUGUAUGACUGUACUCUUCUCUAUCUCUGUGGUAUGGCACACGUAUGAUUUGGUGCUUUUUUGCAGGCCUUCAACAGCAGCAAAGCAUCUGGUGGCUUGCAGUACUAAUCUUGCAUUAUAUUCUCUGUUUUGCAAUCAUUUGGUACUGUUUGUCCCAACCAAGGAUAGCUCUGUGCAAGCAGUCUCGACUGUGGAACAAGUAAAACAAAUGGUACCUGCUGAAGCUGAGAGGGCAGAUGAUAAGCUGGUGCGGAAGGUGGUCAACCAAAAGAAUCAGACAGCAAAAACUAAAAAGCCCAUCAAGCCUGCUACUGAAGCAGCCUCAGCACCUGUUUCUGGGAGGGGUGAGAUUGAAGUGACUGAAGAAAAGGAGCAUGAGCAAACAAAGAAGGAAGAGGAGUUGGCCAGGAAGGUAGAGGAAUUGAGAAGUGAAGAAGAAGCAGCCAUGUUGAAGGAGAGAAAGCCAACGUUAAGGAGGCACUGGAAAGGAAACAAGGAACUGCAGAAAAGGCCAAUUUCUCUGUGAGUGCUGCCACCUUUUCAUAAUAAUGGAUGUUAAAAGCAGUCUAACUCUACAUGGCGUUUAUUUUCCCCAGCCAUGGAUUGGAAUCUGCCAGUCUAACUCUCAUAAGAAACAAAAUUUUCCAUCCUCAUAUGGAUUAUUGGAGAAGAUUUUAACAUGGAGUUCACUAGAGAGUUUCUAACACCCACUCAAAAAGGACAUUUUAGAGAACUUAUUGAAAAGUUACAUCAGAGUACAUAAAUUUUUAGAUAUUUUUAAAAAUAUCUGAAAAAUUAAAUUAACUAAAAGUAUUUGAAAAAUAUUUGAUUGAAUUAAUAAAUAACUAGUAUUUGCAUAUGAAAAAAUAGUAAACAUAGUCAAUAAUUUUUUUUUUAAUAAUUAGCACAUAAUAAUCAUAAAUUAAUUUAUGGCAAGACCUCAUAUUUGUUGUGGUGACUGUGUUGUCUUACCAUUCUUCUUUCAUGAUGGGCUUAAAUUUUAAUUUAAAUGUAGUAUAAAUAUAUAAUUAGAUUGAUAUUUCGUCCACUAGAAUUGAUUGGGUCUGAAUUUGAACCCUGGUCUUGAAUUUCUUGGCCCAACCAACGAAAUCAUUGACCAACGGCCCUUAGUUUGGGCUGGGCUUGAUGGUCCUCAGGUUAUGCAGGCUUAAUACUGAUUGGGUUUGGGCUUCCAUGCAGUUGUACUUGGAUUCUAUGUUUCCUAAUAUUAACACUAAAAUUAGGUUUAAUUUAUUAACACUAAAUUAGGUUUCAUUUAUAAUUAAAUAUAAUUAGUUUGAGAAUAACUCCAAUCUUUAGUUAAACCAACUAAGUUUUAUGCAAAGGUUUAUAUUCCUAAUACCAUUGAAAAACUAAAUUUAUGUGGAAGUUUGACUGAUACCAACAUUAAAUUAUUAAGAUAAAUUGAAAAAAAAAAAAUCAUGCUCGUAUGUCCUGUUGUUUGUCAUAAGAAAAUUUCUUUUCAGAUUUUUUUUUUCUUUUAAUACAUCUUUACAUUUUUAAUAACAAUCCAUAGGAUUGUUCCCAAACAUAUAUCAUAUAAAUAUAUCUUUUUUGGAUUUUUAAGAAUGUUGUCAAACAAACUCAUAAUACCAUUCUUUCUUUACAAUUACCAAUCCAUAUGAUGAAUUUAUUCCUUUCAAUAACUGACAUCAUCUAAUAAAAAUUAUAAUUAGGUAUUAUAUUUAAAAAGUGUUUAAUAAAUCAAUUUAAUAACUUAAGUGAUUUAAUAACUUAAUUUAAAUUAUUAAAAUAAUUUGAUGUCACAAUUUAAAGUUAAAAUUGAUUUAAUUAAUUUUUAUUUAAAUUUAAAACUAUGUUUACAAAAAAGGCUUAAAAUUCAUAUCAAUUAAGAAAUUAAGUUAUUAAGUUACUUUAAGUCAUUAAAUUAAUCUACCAAUUAAACACCCUUUAAGAUAUGAUAUAAAGUUCACCUCCUACAUAUCAUGAAAAUUAAAAAUUAAUUACCACAUCAAGAAUCUUUAGUUCCUAAUCGAUUUAAUAUUUAAUCCUUGGUUGUGAAUUUCUUUAUAUAUGUAGAUAUAUUUUUAUAUUGCAAGUGGGCUGCCGACUUUUCAUUUUAUACUAGUUUUGAAAAUAAGAUUGUAGUUUUUAUUUUGUCCAAAUCUAAUUUGGAGGGAGAAUCUUUAGAGGCUAUUUUAUAUUCAAAUAGGAAAAUUUUAAAUUUAAUAGUCCCACCUUAUAAAGGCAAAUAUCUUGGACCCUACAUGGGUGCCUCUUACAUGCAUGCACGAGGACAAAGACUUAUUGAAAGCCUCUCUCAUUCACAUGGAUGCCAUCAUUCAUCGAAGUUGAAACAUGAAACCCACACAAAAUAUUUGGGCAAAAGCAACUUCAAUAUUUUUUUUCAUUACUAUAGCUGAGAAUCUCAAUAUUAUUAAAUAGUAAUAAAAUUAAUUUUAAUAUUUUUUUUCUUAUUUUUUCCUCCUUGUGGUUAUAUUUUCAUCCGGAAAGUAUUAAAUAUUAAAAAAGAAUAAAAUUUAAAAAUUAAUUUUUCAUAUUUAAUUAUAUUGUGAAAAAUAUAAAAUAAAAUAUAAUAUAAUUAAAAUUAGUUAAAAUUUUAUAUUUUUAUAAAAUUAUUUAACUUUUUUAUAAAAAUUUAAAAUAAGUGACAUGAGUUUGAAAUAGUAUACAUAUUGACUUUAAAUUUAAUUUUUAUAUUUUUCAUUUUUCUUUUUAACUAUUCUUCUUUCUUCUCUUUCUCUCAACUUUUCCUUCAAAUUUUCCAAUAACCAAACAUAACCUAUUUGUUUCAUAAAAACUCUUUUACCUUUUUAAAUUUUUAAAAGAGUUGCUUACAUAAUAUGGAGCUAAUAGUAUUACUUGUACCUAUUAAUUUCUUUUAAGAUUAAAUUGUUCUAACUUUGUGUGAUAAAAAGUUUGUAAAGUCCAAUUUUACGAAAGAAAAUAUAUGAUUAGUGACUCCCUUGCAUUUCCUUUGGGAUUCACCCCUUCAUACUUACCGUAAAUAGUUGUACCAAUUAAUCAAACAAAAAACAUAGCAUGUAAAUAGUAAUAUGUUAAAGUUUUCUAUCGUGCCUAAGUUUAAUUAGUUCUACUUAUUUAUAUAUUGAAAUGAAAGUAAGCAUAUAUUUAAGUGGUCCAUCAAAUUUGAAACUAAUCUAUUGUAAUUACAUUCAUGUCUAUAUCAUUUAUAUUGUACAUAACUUGAGUACAUUAAAAAUUGUACAAAAAAUCCAAAUUACAAGGAAGUUUAUAUAAACUCUCUUAGGAUUAGACACUGUUAGUCAUUGCCUUCUAAAAAGCUUUCAUCUCUUUCUCCCUCAAGAGGUUUGUAGUCACUUUACACAAGUGUCAAAACUCAAAAGAGUGAUCUAAUGAAGAUGACGAGGUGAUUGAGAUCCUUUUCAUAAACUGGAGUUUGAUAUGGGAACAUUCAUAUCGAAGGUAAAAAUUUUUAUCAGCAACUAGACUUACUUUUAUCUUUCCUUAUAAUUAAACCCAAUAAUCCUAGGUUGUUAGAGACCACACACCUAUGAUCCAAGGGUUUUCCCAACAAGGAUAUCAAUAAAUCUUUCUACUCUAUUGAUGGCAUCUUGAAUUCUUUCAAAUUAAUCACUUCAUUGUAAUCGUUAUUCACUAAAUCCCAUAAAUCUUGAGAUCUAAACAUGACAUUCAUAUGAAUGCAUCAAUUAUUAUAAUUCUUACUUAUGAAUUUUGAAAGUUGAGAUUCAAUUGAGUUAUUAUUUACCAUCAUUACUUUAACAACCAAAUUGCAAAUUUCUUUAUACUAUUCACAUUCUCUGGCAGCCUUUGACCUUCCCUAAUCUUUAGCCUCUAGCUAAUACCACUUGUUUGAGCUCCCAUAAUUGGGCAGCAUUGACAAUAAUUUACUAAAAUAACAUUUUAUUCUAUCCUACUCUCUCUUUGUCAACAUAAUAAUAAACCUCUAUUUAAAAUAAGUUGAUCAUAUUUGCAUUAUCACUCUAAUUCAUAAUUAGAUUGGGAAACCUAAUUAAUAUCAAAUAAAUAACCAUUCCUAAUAUUUCUCAAAUUUAUAAAAUUCUUCUAAUUUGACUUUAAAUUGAUUUUUUAUUUUGACUAUAUAGCUUAAAAAGGAUAAUUUUUUAAAUAAUUAUCAAUUUCAUAUAAUCUUUAUAAGCAUUUGUGUUCAUAAAUUCCUUAUUAUGAUAUUAGGUUUUAGACAAUUUGACAAUAUGAUGAUGUUUUGGAAUGAAUGUUAAGUGAAUCCGUUUUACUCAAAACCAUUAAAUAAAAAAAAAAGACAGUUACACAAGUAAAAUAGUAGAUUAUUGAAGGCCAGGAGAAAAGAAGAGGAAAAUGAAAUAUUAUAUCCCUAUAAUGAGUUAGGUGGAUAUUUCAUGUGAAAAGUUUAAUGUGCAAGGUUGUUCAUGUCUAUUGAGUUUUGGGUAAUCAUUUUUUCAUGGAAAUUUUUUAUGGAAUCCUAAUCUUAGAAAGCAAUAGGAAAUUUUUUUACCAAGAUUUCUAAGAAAUAACUACAUCAAAGUGUAAGAAAAGUAUCAAACUAGAAUAUCUAAGAAAUUACUACAUCAAAGUGUAAUAGAAACAUCAAAUUAGAAAGUGAAAUAUAAUACAAUUCAACUAUGAAAAUGAAGGACAAAGGAAUAGACUAAUUGCCAAAGGAAAAUAGUCUUUUAGUUUUAAUCAGAAAUUUCUUAUAUCAUAAUUAUGACCUGUAGAGGCCACAUGGGUUGUUGGCCUUGGAGUGACUAAAAGGUACAACUAAAAAACGUCAAACAUUUGGAGAACUAAAAGAAAACAUGGAUAAAAUUUUUUUACCUAGAACAUUUAUAUAGAAAUAUUUUAUUUUUUAUUUUUAAAAAAUUAGUAAAGGUAGUAAAGUUUUUUAAAGAUUAUUUUGCGCCCUAAAAACAAAUCGUAAAGGCUUGUUAAAGAUUAUUUUGGAUAUGUUUCAUGCAUUAAUUUUUUUUAACAUUUCAAAUUUUUAAAUGAUUUUUAAAAGUUAUUACCUUUUAAAAUGUAAAUCUCAUAGAGUAUUUGCAUUAUAUAGGAAUUACUAUCAUUUUUAUUUUUUUUAAAAAAGAGAAAUGUAUUCAAAUAAUACCUUAAUUUUUCAUUUUCUAGUAUAAGGAAAUGAUUAUAUCUCACACAAACCUUGUUCAGAUACAUAUUUCAAAGUGAGAAAAAAAAAAUUCUUUUAGAGAAAAGAAGUCCUUCAAAAAGAAGAAAAAAAAAGGUUUUUCAAAGAAGAGUUAGAAGGAAAAGUGAAUUCAAUCUUAUAAUCAGCUAACAUGAUGUUGUUUGAUUACAUUUUUUAUUUUCUAUUUUUACAAAUAAAAUAUAAUAAUAACUCCUAUAUGAAAUAUAGAACUCUUUCAAACUUACUUUAAAAACAUAAUAAUAUUUAAAAAUUAAGAUAAAUUGUGAUAUUAAAAAAAAAAUUACUUCUUCAAAUUUUAAAAAUUAUGAAAAUAAAUUUUUAAUGACAUAAGAUAAGUCUAUAAAUUUUACAUAAAAGUUAUUAUAUUUUAUAUAGAAACUAUUACUAUUUUCUAUUUGUAAAAAUACAAAAUAAAAAAUAUAUCCAAGCAAGUACUAUGAGAAAUAGUUUCUAACAUUUCUUAUUAAGAAAAUGAGAAUAUUAAGAAGUAUAUUCCUACUACAUUGUUUUUUUUUUUAAUUUGAUAUCAACCCAUUCUAUUAGCUCUUUUGAGAAAUAUAGAAAAAUAACAUUACAUAAUUGCAUAGAACAAGAAUAUUAUUUAAGUUUGAGGCAAGUGUUAAAAAGAUAUUGUAAUUCUGUUACGUUGUUUAACUUCAAUGUCCUAUAUGUAACUGUUAGGAAUUUGAGGCUAAUCCAAACUAUAGUAAUCACCCUAGAGGGAGGGGGGGGGGGGGGGUAAAUAGGGUGAUGAUCUCUUUUUCACAAAUCUAAACUAUGCAAAAAUAAGAGACAAUUAUAUGUAAAUAUAUAAUAAACACAAUUACAUAUAAUUUAAAAAAUUUGGGAAAAAAAAGUGCAAAACCGAAAACUUAUAAUGGGUCGACACUUCCUUGGCCACCUUCCCUCUCCUUAAACCCCUAAACGAAUGAGGGUUCCCCUAUUUUGAAGCUUCCACCAAGCUUCCAAACCCUUUACAAAUGGAUUAAGGUUUCCAAUCCCCCUUUUGNNNNNNNNNNNNNNNNNNNNNNNNNNNNNNNNNNNNNNNNNNNNNNNNNNNNNNNNNNNNNNNNNNNNNNNNNNNNNNNNNNNNNNNNNNNNNNNNNNNNAGAGAGUGCAAACACGAGAGCUUAUAGUGGUUCGACACUUCCUUGCCUACGUCCACUCUCCUCAACCUCCUAACCGAGUGAGGGUUCCACUAUCUUGAAGCUUCAACCAAGCUUCCAAUCUCUUUACAAUUGGAUUAUGGUUCCAAUUCACCCUUUUGGACUUUUGGCUCCAAGCACCCUUUACACUUCUCAAAAGUUAUCCCACUCUUGAACAACCUCUCAAGUGAUACCCCUCACUUGAGAAAAUUCCUCUCAAAGAUAUACAAAGAUUGAUCUCACAAAAAUUGUAGUAAUAGAACUUUAAGCUCAAAUGAUACAAGAGAAACUAGGAUUGAAUGGUGCACUAAAGAUAUGCAAGUUUUGGAAUAAUGGUGCACUCAAAAAUACUCUUCCAAGGCUCAAAUAUAAUCAAGAAAGAUUUGGGAAGGUUUAGCUUAUCAAACAACGAAGUUUGGAGCCUUUUUAUAGAAGAAAAAAGUCAUACUAGCCGUUGGGGGUUUGAUCGGUCGAGCUAAGGGUCGACUGGUUGACUAACCAUUAGGAAAAGUGACUGUUGAGCCUCAACCGGACCUCAACCGGUUGAGGUUCAACCUUGACCGGGAAGAGAAGGCCACUAGGAGAGAGAGAAAGUUUUUGGCCUCCCUCAACCGGUCCUCGACCGGACGAGCACAACCAAUCGACCAGUUGAACCGGUUGAGCCAUUUUUUUGGCUCAACACUCAACAUUUUUCAACUUAAAACCUUUUAACACAAAUUUGAAAAUCAUUUAACACAAGGUUUUAGUUGAAAACAUUAAAUCAUCCAAUUCUUAAGAUAUUUAAAACAAUAUUACUCUUGGAUAAUUUUGGUGCAUAAAUAAAUAAUGAAAUGCAUGAAAGUCCUAGUGCACCAACAACCUUACAAAGAGAUCCUAAGAAGCUUUGGUCUUGAAAAACUCUUCUCUUUGAGGUGGUCUUCUUUUUCAUGAUUUCUCCUUGACUUGAUUUGUCUUUGGAUUGCCACUUUGGAAGUCGUCUUGCCUAAUCACACUUGAAAUAUGAUCAUUAGUUCUAAACCUUGUUUUGUUAUCAUCAAAAUCAAGAUUAACCAAACCUUGGUUUCACAGUAACGACUUGUUCCCAACCAUAUAGAUAUUGUCCGCUUUGGACCCAAAUGGGCCCUCACGGUUUUUAAAACUCGUCUACUUGGUUAAGAGGAACUUCUACAUAUAUAGCGUCAGACUUUCCCCCCUAUCCGAUGUGGGAUGUCACAAACACCCCCCUCCCCCCCUCCAUGUAGACACAACGUCCUCGUUGUGUCCCAUGGGAUUGUAGGGUUAAAUAGACAAACACCCCUUAUGAGGUCAAACAAACCCCAACACCGGGGUCGGGGAUCGACUCUGAUACCAUUUAUCAGAAUCCGUACUCAAUUAUAUAUAUAUUGUCCGCUUUGGACCCAAAAGGGCCCUCACGACUUUAAAACGCGUAUACUUGGUUAAGAGGAGUCUCUACACAUAUAGCACCAAGAACUUUUCCCCCUAUCCAAUAUGGGAUGUCACACUAUAUAUGUGUAACAAUUUUUCUUUAAAAAAAUUAGAGGACUUAAAAUGGGCUCUUGUCAACCUUAUUGAUAUUUGAUGUCAAAGGGAUACAACCAACCACCACAAAUAAUUGAGAGAAAAGAAAGGAAAUAAUAAUAAGAGGUAGGCCCCGGGCUCUUGUGAACCUUAUUGAUAUUUGAUACCAAAGGGAUACAACCAACUCCCACAUUUAAUUAAGAGAAAAGAUUGGGAUAUCCUCACCACCAUGUCUAGAUUGCUUUAGUAGGACCAAGAGAAGUCAUUCAGCAUCCAAAGAUCCUCUUCUUCUUCUUCUUCUUUUAAUUCUAAAUGGAGGGACAAUGUGUUCUUGAGUUUCAAAGGUGAAAAUACUCACAAAAGCUUUACUAAUCAUUUCUACUGUAUAUCUUUACUUGUAAUAAAUGUAUAAGAUAUUUGUAUUAACUGUAUAAAACAUGUACAGACCUGUAUAUCUUGAAUUUAUUAAUAUGUUUUUCUUCAUUUUCUUUGUUUUCCAUACCAAAAUACUAAAAAAAUUAUUUACAUAAUUUUUUCUUUUCACAUUUUCAUAUGUAUACAAGACACUUAUACUAAAUGUACAAGAUAUUUUCAUAUUUUGACUAAUGCCUAUACAAAUAUGCAAAUAUAUUGACAAUAGGCAAACUCAUACUAGUCUUGUAUAGUUAUGACAAAUGUCUUAUACAUUUAGGGUGUGUAUACAAUGUUUUCUAAUUCUUUGUAUAGUUAAUACAAAUGUCAUAUAUAUUUUUGAAAAUGUAAAAAAAAAAAAAAGAAGUUAUAUUUGACAUUUACACAUUAUAUAUAAACAAUAUUUCAAUUUAAUAUGGAAAAUGAAAAAAAUGCAAAUAGAUAUAUGUGAAGGGUAAAAAGAGUAUUUUUGUUCGUAAAAUUUCAUGUACUUAAACAUGAAGUAUGCAUCUUUUCACAGAUGUUGGCCAAAUUAUGAACCUCAAACACAAUUGUUUUAAAGAGAAAUGUGAAGAAAAAGAAUAUGAAUGGUAGUUGUAAGAAAAUUAAAAAAUAAAAUCAUUGACUCUUCACUCUACCAAACUAGGGAUGACAACGAGGCGAGUUUGGGAUGGGGCCUCGUUCCGUUUAACUUUUUUUUUUAAUUACUUAAAAUUUUUUUAAUUAUAUUAAAAUAAAUAUAUUUUAUAAAUAAUUAAAUUAUUAUAUUUUUAUAACUUAUUUUAUUAAAAAAUAUUUUUUUUAUUAUUUAUAUAUUAAAAAUAGUAAAAUUAAAAUUAAAAUUAAUUUAAUUUUAAAAAUUAAUUUUAUAUAUAAUAGGGGUGGAGCAAGAUAAGGCAAUAGCUGAAUCUGUCCUGGGUUUUAAAAAGAUUCCCAAACCUGUCCAAAACUCAUUUAGUUAAAAUUGAAACUCAUCCAAUUACGAGCGGGUAUCCGAAAAAACUUGUCCUAUUGUCAUCCCUAUACCCAACCACACUAUCAUCCAAUGAAUAAAACGAAAAUAACUAAAAUUAAGGAACAACCCAAGAAUCAAUGACUUCCUAGCAAGCCCAUCCAUAUCCCAACACGGACAAAAAUAUUUUAAUUUUUUUGCCUUAAAAAUCACGCAUGAAGCUUCCUAGAAAUUUCAUACUUCUUUGUCAUUAUCUAUAUUUUCUACUUCUUUUUCAUCGUCAAUAUUUGUGUAUAUAUAUAAAAUAAAACUUGCAAGAAAAUACAAAAAUGAUAGAUGGCAAAAUGGUUUUUAUGUUAAGAAGGUUCUAAAUUUUUCACACCUUUACAGUAUAAAAAAAAAAAAAAAAAAAAACUUUUUAAAUACAGAACUAUUUCGGACUUGAAUCAUUUUGAAAUUCAGAGACUUGAAAAGUGUUUGUUGGACUUGAAGGAGUUUGGAGUUAAUCUUGAACUUAGAUAUGUUUAGAAAUCAAAGUGGAUUUGAAGAAGAUUGAAAUCCACGACAUGACAACACUGUAAUAUGAAUAGUGUUUUGUCAAAAAAAAUUACUAUUUACUAUUUACUAGGGCAUAAAAGAAAAAUACAAAAUAAUACUCUAAAAAUGCGAAGGAAAGAUUGUUGGUCGUUGAAUAAGGGGAAAAAAAAGAAGAAAAGUAAAAUGUGAAAAAAAAAAGCUUCAAGAGUGCAAUUAAUAAUUGUGGUAGGCCCUGACUUUUGUCUUGUGAACCCGCCUAUUAUUGAAUGGAAAAGGGAUAUAGCCAACCAAAAUAAUUGAGAGUAAAGAAAGGAACACCUCACCACUAUGCUCCAAAUUGAGAGAAAAACAAAGUCAGCCGGCAUCCAAGGACAUUUUUAUUAAAAAAGUAAAGAAAAGAAAUGGUGCUUUAGCUAUUAUCAUAUCAACUCCUAGGAAAUAAAUGAAAAGAACAAGUAAAUGAAAAGAAACAAAAAAAAAAGUUCUUAGAAUGCAAAAAGAAGAUAUUGGAUAUUGAAUGCCCAAAAGAGAAAAAAAUAAAAUGGUAAGAUGUAAAGAAAAGAGUCAGAAAAGCUUCACAAUUGCAAUUAAUAAUUGAGGUACGACUUGGACUUUUGUGAACCCUCACUGUUAAUGCUAAAGGGUUACAGCUAAGGAAAGGAUAAAUGGGAGAGAAGAACAGGACAUCCUCACCACCAUCGUCUUAGCAUCAAAGACCCUCUUUUUUCUUCUUCCAAAUUCUGUUCUUGUAAUUUUGUUACAAUCCAACCAUGGCUUCCUCUAGCAAUUCUAAGAGACCCUUUUGUUCUUCUUCUUCUUCUAAUUCUAAAUGGAGGUACGAUGUGUUCUUGAGUUUCAGAGGCGAGGAUACCCGCAACAACUUUACUAGUCAUCUCUACAAGGAUUUGGAUAAGGCCAACAUUAAAACCUUUAAAGAUGAUGAAGAACUUCGAAAGGGAGGAGAGAUUGCACCCGAGCUCCUAAAAGCUAUUGAAGAAUCAAGGAUCGCCAUUAUCGUCUUCUCGAAAACCUAUGCUCAUUCCAAGUGGUGCUUGGAUGAACUCGUCAAGAUCAUGGAGUGCCAGAAAGAAAAGGGACAAAUAGUUUAUCCCGUUUUCUAUCACGUACGGCCGUGUGAAGUCAGGAACCAGUAUGGGACUUAUGGAGAAGAAUUUAAGAAACACGAGAGCAAUGCGGACGAGGAGAAGAAGAAGAAAAUAGGGGAGUGGAGGACUGCCUUAAGGAAAGCCGGUGAUUUGAGUGGAUUUAGUCUGCGGGAUAGGUAAUCCCUACUUCACUUUUUCCAUUUCCAAUUUUCUGUCAGUUUAUUUUCAUUCUUGUUAGUAAAUAAAAUAUUUAUGAUUACAUAUAUCAAUCAAAAUCCAGUUUUUAAGUAGUAGACAUUAAUAUGUUUGAUUUCUUGGAAAGUAAUAAGAAGAGUUAAAAAUAAAUAAAAAUAAAAAUUUAAAAAAUUUGAUUUUCUUAUAUUUAAUGUAUUAUUAAAAAAUAUGAAAGAAAAUAAAAAUAUAAUUAAAAUACAUUGUAAAAAUAUAUAUAAUUAGUUUAUAAUUAAAAUAAUCUUAGAAAAUCUAUAGUAGUUGUUCUGGGCUCAUUCAGGCCCAACAGGUAAUCCCUAUUUCACUUUUUCCAUUACCAAUUUUCUGUCGGUUUAUUUUCAUUCUUGUUAAUAAAUAAAAUAUUUAUGAUUACAUUUAUCAAUCAAAAUCCAUUUUUAAGUAGUAGACAUUAAUAUGUUUGAUUUCUUGGAAAGUAAUAAGAAAGAGUAAAAAAAAAAAUUGACUUUCUCACAUUUAAUUUAUUAUUAAAAUUAUAAAAGGAAAUCAAAUAUAAUUAAAAUAUAUCGAAAAAAAAAAUAUUUGCCUACAAUUGGGAUAAUAUUAGAAAAUCUAUAGUAGGUGUUGUGGGCUCAUUCAGGCCCAGGUAAUACUGGUAAAAAAAUAAAAUAAAAUAAUUAUGCCAAAUGCCAAGUUUUGAAUUGUUAAAAAUCUUUAAGAUUCCAAAAUAUUCUUCCUUUCUAAUCAAUCCAUCUCAGCCAUAAUUUCUAUCAAUUAAAUUGUUCAAAUUGGUUAUUUAUAUGCUUUGUAAAUUUGGAGAUAAUCUGAGAUGAUUAUUUAAAAUAUUGUAAUACUACCCUAAAUUUUUUUGGACCCUCUUAUGGGACAAAAAACUUAGUUAUUGCACCCUUAACCUUUUUCAAUUUUAGAGGAAUUUUCUAUUACUAAAAUAAUUUUCUCAUGUUCUCUGUGCACUACAUGAGUUUACAUUUCUUCUUUACUUAAUAUUGUUUGUUCCUCUAUAUUUGCAAGUUGAUUAUUAAAUUUAUUUACCUUUUAAUCUAAUGUUUGUAUCUCGUUUUAUUCUAAUUAUCCCAUGACAUCUGGAUAAUCUCUUCUUAAGACCUUGACAUGACAUAAUGAAAUUUUAUUUAAACAUGCAAUUCAACACAUUUUUAAUUUACAUUCUAUUUGACCUUAAUUUAAUUGCACCGAACUAAAGAUCAUUCUAUAAUUUCCAUUUACUUCAUCUUUGUUUUCUUUGACAAUUGAUUGUAGCUUACUCCAUGUUUUAUUGUACUUUAUAAUGGACAGAUCUGAGGCAGAGUUUAUUGAAGAAAUCAUUGGUGAGAUUCGAAGAUUAAUUCCUAAGUGGGUACAUGUUGGUGAGAAUAUUGUUGGAAUGGAUGAAAAUUUGAAAAAAGUGAAGUUAUUGAUAGAUGCCCAAUCAAAUAAAGUGAGUAUGGUUGGGAUUUAUGGGACUGGUGGGAUUGGUAAAACUACCAUCGCCAAGGUUGUUUACAAUGAUAUGUUAGAUCAAUUUAAAUGUCACAGCUUUCUUGAAAAUGUGAGAGAGAAAUAUGAAGAUAAAGGUGAUUUGCUUCAAUUACAAAAAGAACUUCUUUGUGAUAUCCUAAUGGAGAAAAAUCUGGUGUUAAGGAAUAUUGAUGAAGGAUUUAAAAAGAUAAAGAGUAAGCGUCACUCUGAAAAGGUUCUUAUUGUUCUUGAUGAUGUAGGUUGUGAAGAACAAUUAAAAUUCUUAGCUCCUAAUUCUGAAUGUUUUCAUCCAGGAAGCAUAAUCAUUGUGACCACGAGAAAUAAGCGUUGCCUAGAUGUAUAUGACUCGUAUUCAUCAUAUGAGGCUAAGAGAAUGGCAGACAAGCAAGCUGAGGAACUCUUUUGUUGGAAUGCCUUCAAGCAAGACCAUCCCAUAGAAAAUUUUGUGGGCCUCUCUAAUCGUAUACUGGAUUAUGCUGACGGCCUUCCAUUGGCUCUUGUAGUUUUGGGUUCUUUUCUCUUUCAAAGGCCUAUGGAUGAAUGGGAAAGCACAUUGGAUGAACUCAAAACAAUCCCUCCCGAGAAUAUUCAAAAGGUACUCCAGAUAAGUUAUGAUGGACUAAGUGAUGAACGCAAGAAGUUGUUUCUUUAUAUUGCAUGCUUCUUCAAAGAUGAGGAUGAAAAAAUGGCAACAAGAAUACUAGAAAGUUGCAAAUUACAUCCCGCUAUUGGACUAAGAGUUCUUCAUGAGAGGUGUCUUAUUUCUAUAGAGGACAACACUAUAAGGAUGCAUGACUUGUUACAAGAAAUGGGUUGGGCAAUUGUUUGCAAUGAUCCAGAACGUCCAGGAAAAUGGAGCAGAUUGUGCGAAUUACAGGAUAUUGAAAGUGUAUUAUCACAAAAUGAGGUAAGAGAAAAAUACAUGAACAUACUUGAGAUCUAAAGACAUAAAAGAUUCAACAAGAUUUAUUUUUAUUAUUAUUAUAGUUUGAGUAUAUUAUCUAUAUAAUUUUAGUGAAUCCCUAUGCAUCUUAUACUGCUCAUUCUCAAUCCUUGUUUUCAGUGGACAAAAAACAUUGAGGGGAUUUUCACAAGUCAGUCUCGCCAUACAGGAAAACAUAUACAACUUACUACUGAAGUUUUCAGAAAUAUGAAUCAACUUAGAUUGCUCAAAGUCGAAUUCAAUCAGAUCGUGCAGCUUUCCCAAGACUUUGAAUUGCCUUGUCAUGAUUUAGUAUAUUUUCAUUGGGAUUACUACCCUUUAGAAUAUUUGCCAUCAAAUUUUCAUACAGACAAUCUUGUUGAACUCAACCUCUGGUGUAGCCGCAUAAAACAUCUUUGGGAAGGAAAUAUGGUAUUGCUAUUAUUUAGUUAUAUUUUUGUUGUAGACUAAUUUUAAAGUCUUUUGAAGUUUACUUCUUGACACAAAUUUUCUUCUGUUACAGCCUGCUAAAAAGUUAAAAGUCAUUGAUCUUAGUUAUUCCAUGCAUCUGGUUGACAUUUCAAGCAUCUCAAGUAUGCCAAAUUUGGAGACUCUAACUCUAAAAGGUUGUACAAGGUUCCUUAAGUGUUUCAUCCAUGCUAAAUGUUAUUAUCAGUCAUGAACUAAUUGUUUUCUUGAAUAUAAUAGGGUGCACGAGACUUAAGAGUCUUCCAAGGAACUUUCCUAAGUUGGAAUGCCUUCAAACACUCUCUUGUUGUGGCUGUUCAAACUUAGAGAGUUUUCCGAAGAUCGAGGAAGAAAUGAGAAGUCUAAGAAAGCUUAAUUUAAGUCAAACAGGUAUAAUGGGAUUACCAUCAUCAAUUAGCAAGCUAAAUGGGCUUAAAGAGUUGGACUUAAGUAGUUGCAAAAAGCUUUCGAGUCUUCCGGACAGUAUUUAUAGUUUGAGCUCUCUUCAAACUCUCAAUCUAUUUGCAUGUUCACGACUAGUGGGCUUUCCGGGUAUCAAUAUUGGAAGUCUAAAAGCUCUUAAAUACUUGGAUUUGUCAUGGUGUGAGAACCUUGAGAGUCUUCCGAAUAGUAUUGGUAGUUUGAGCUCUCUUCAAACUCUUUUAUUGAUAGGGUGUUCAAAACUGAAGGGCUUUCCAGAUAUCAAUUUUGGAAGUCUAAAAGCUCUUGAAUCGUUAGAUUUCUCAGGUUGCAGAAACCUUGAGAGUCUUCCCGUGAGCAUUUACAAUGUAAGCUCUCUCAAAACUUUGGGGAUUACAAAUUGUCCAAAACUCGAGGAAAUGUUAGAGAUGAAACUAGGGGUUGAUCCAUGCCCCUGGCCAUUUUCACCUCUAACCUGUCACAUUUCAAAUUCAGCAAUAAUCUGGGAUGAUCACUGGCAUGACUGCUUUUCCUCAUUAGAAGCAUUAGACUCACAGUGCCCCCUGUCAUCACUGGUAGAAUUAUCUGUAAGAAAGUUUUAUGACAUGGAAGAAGACAUCCCCAUUGGCAGUUCCCACCUAACCUCAUUGGAAAUAUUAUCUCUGGGGAACGUCCCUACAGUAGUAGAAGGAAUCCUCUAUGACAUUUUCCAUCUAUCUUCAUUGGUAAAAUUAUCUCUUACUAAAUGCAAGCCAACAGAAGAAGGAAUCCCCCGUGAUAUUCAGAACCUAUCUCCACUGCAACAAUUAUCUCUACAUGACUGCAAUCUAAUGAAAGGAACGAUCCUCGAUCAUAUUUGCCAUCUAACAUCCUUGGAAGAAUUAUAUCUGGGUUGGAACCAUUUUAGUAGCAUUCCUGCUGGCAUCAGUCGACUUUCCAAUCUAAAAGCCCUUGACUUGAGUCACUGCAAGAAGCUUCAACAAAUUCCAGAGCUUCCAUCUAGUCUACGAUUUUUAGAUGCGCACUGUCCGGAUCGUAUUUCAUCAAGCCCCUUGCUUCUACCUAUUCAUUCUAUGGUCAAUUGCUUCAAAUCAAAAAUUGAGGUAUGAUUCUCAUGCCACGUUCCUUUUUCUUUUGUACCCAUUGGAUUUACAUGGUGCUUUCGUGCAGGGGCGCAAGGUUAUUAAUAGGUAUUCUUCCUUCUAUGGCAAUGGGAUUGGUAUUGUUAUUCCUAGUAGUGGAAUUCUAGAGUGGAUAACGUAUCGGAAUAUGGGAAGGCAAGUAACAAUAGAGCUCCCUCCGAAUUGGUAUAAAAAUGAUGACUUGUGGGGAUUUGCUUUAUGCUGUGUUUAUGUUGCACCUGCCUGUAAAUCUGAGGAUGAAUCUCAGUAUGAAUCAGGUCUUAUAUCUGAGGAUGACAGUGACCUUAAAGAUGAAGAAGCAAGCUUUUAUUGUGAAUUGACAAUCGAAGGAAAUAAUCAAUCAGAAGACGUGGGUCAUUUCUUUCUUCAUUCUCGCUGUAUUAAGGAUGAUGUAUCAGAUAUGCAGUGGGUGAUAUGUUAUCCCAAGUUAGCUAUUGAGAAAAGUUAUCACACCAAUCAAUGGACACACUUCAAGGCUUCAUUUGGUGGUGCCCAAGUGGAAGAGUGCGGAAUCCGUCUUGUAUACAGAAAAGAUUAUGAACAGAAGCAUCCAAGAAUGGCACAAGGCAGUACUUCUCAUGGGAAUUUUGGUGAGCAUGGAUCAGUAAGAGAAGAUACUGAUAGUAAAGCUCACAAUAAAAGGAAUCCCACAGAACAGAGCCCAGGAGAGGAGUCACACCAUAAAAGAUCCAGAGAAACCCAAGACUGAUCUCAAGUAUUAGGCUCAACCACACUUGCAUCACUAAUGCUCUCUUUACUGGUAAUUCAUCUUCCUUUCUCUUUCUAAUUCAAAGGUCAGAAUUUUUUUUUUAUCGUGUUUCUCCUUUUUAUUUGUUUUUUUUUUCCCCAAGACAAACAAAACUUUGAGGCUAUCACCCAUGGGCGCAAACUUCAAUGGUACACCUCCCAAGUUUGUUUUUCUCUCUCUCCAACCGUCUCUCCCUAGAUUUUUCUGCAUUUUCUUCAAACUCAUAUUUCCAUAUGAAAUUCAAUUACAUUCGAGCAUUUCAAUCUCUGUAGCUACUGUCUGAAUCAAUUAUAGGGUUUCUUUUUUCUGGAAGUUUGUAAUGUUAUUGAUUUAAGACUUCAUGUUUGGGGAUGUUUUGGGUGGCUUGUUCACUGGUAUUACUUGUGAUAAUUGCAGCUCUGGUGCUUUCAAUGACUGACAAUAGUUGAAACUAUGUUGAAUGCUUGUACUAAGGGAAUGGACUUCAGCUGCUCCAGGGUUAGUGCUAUAACAUCAGUAUUCACUCUUCAAGAAUGUAUAUAGUUGUUGUUUUGGAAUUUUGAAAUUACUUAGCAUCAGACAAUUUCUAACUCGGGAUUUGGAUUGGGAACCAUAAGUUAUCUCACCCUAGUGUUCUUUGGAAUAAUUAUAGGAUUUUGUAAGUAACUUUGGACUUGUUAGCAAUGUUCUGGAUUUGUGAAUAAUUUAUAGAAUACAUUGGGUGUUUUUUUUUUUUGGUCCAUCAAAAACUUCAAGAACUUUGAGGGUGAAUAAUGUAUGACUGUACUCUUCUCUAUCUCUGUGGUCAUAGCACACGUAUGAUUUGGUGCUUUUUUGCAGGCCUUCAACAGCAGCAAAGCAUCUGGUGGCUUGCAGUACUAAUCUUGCAUUAUAUUCUCUGUUUUGCAAUCAUUUGGUACUUUUUGUCCCAACCAAGGAUAGCUCUGUGCAAGCAGUCUCGACUGUGGAACAAGUAAAACAAAUGGUACCUGCUGAAGCUGAGAGUGCAGAUGAUAAACUGGUGCGGAAGGUGGUCAACCAAAAGAAUCAGACAGCAAAAACUAAAAAGCCCAUGAAGCCUGCUACUGAAGCAGUCUCAGCACCUGUUUCUAGGAGGGGUGAGAUUGAAGUGACUGAAGAAAAGGAGCAUCAGCAAACAAAGAAGGAAGAGGAGUUGGCCAGGAAGGUAGAGGAAUUGAGAAGUGAAGAAGAAGCAGCCAUGUUGAAGGAGCAAAGUCUGUUGGAGGAGAGAAAGCCAACGUUAAGGAGGCACUGGAAAGGCAACAAGGAACUGCAGAAAAGGCCAAUUUCUCUGUGAGUGCUGCCACCUUUUCAUGAUACAGCCAUCAUAAUGGAUGUUAAAAGCAGUCUAACUCUACAUACUUCCUUGCAUUAUACUAGUCAUUGAUGGGCUUAAAUUUUAAUUUAAAUGUAGUAUAAAUAUAUAAGUAGAUUGAUUGGGUCUGAAUUUGAACCUGGUUCGAGUCAUACUCCCAUCCAAUCCAAACUUGUGAUUGGGCUUGAAUUUCUUGGCCCAACCAGCGAAAUCAUUGACCAACGGCCCUUAGUUUGGGCUGGGCUUGAUGGUCCUCAGGUUAUGUAGGCUUAAUACUGAUUGGGUUUGGGCUUCCAUGCAGUUGUACUUGGAUUCUAUGUUUCCUAAUAUUAACACUAAAUUAGGUUUAAUUUAUAAUUAAAUAUAAUUAGUUUGAGACUAACUCCAAUCUUUAGUUAAACCAACUAAGUUUUAUGCAAAGGUUUAUAUUCCUAAUACCAUCAGGUAUUAUAGUAAAUACCAUUGAAAAACUAAAUUCAUGUGGAAGUUUCACUAGGUGAUACGACAUUAAAUUAUUAAGAUAAAAUUAAAAAAAGAUCAUGCUCGUAUGUCCCGUUGUUUGUCAUAAGAGAAUUUCUUUCUAGAUUUUUUUUUUUUUGCUCUUUUCAAUUCUAGAUAUUUUAAUAUAUCUUUACUUUUUCAAAAACAAUCCAUAGGAUUGUUCCCAAACAUAUAUCAUAUAAAUAUAUAUUUUUAAGAUUGAUUUUUAAGAAUGUUAUCAAAUAAACUCAUAAUAGCAUUUUUUUCUUUACAAUUACCAAUUCGUAUGAUGAAUUAAUUACUUUCAAUAACCGACAUCAUCUAAUCAAAAUUAUAAUUAAGUAUCAUAUUAAAAGAGUGUUUAAAAAAUCAAAUUUAAUAACUUAAAGUGAUUUAAUAAUUUAAUUUAAAUUAUUAAAAUAACUUGAUGUCACAAUUUAAAGUUAGAAAUGACUUAAUUUAUUUUUAUUUAAAUUUAAAACUAAGUUUACAAAAAAGGUUUAAAAUUCAUAUCAAUUAAGAAAUUAAGUCAUUAAGUUACUUUAAGCCAUUAAAUUGAUCUACCAAUUAAACACCCUUGAAGAUAUUACAUAAAGUUCACCUUCUACAUAUCAUGAAAAUUUAAAAUUAAUUACAACAUCAAGAAUCUUUAGUUCCUAAUCGAUAUCAUAUUUAAUCCUUGGUUGUAAAUUUCUUUACAUAUGUAGAUAUAUUUUUAUAUUGCAAGUGGGUUGCCGACUUUUCAUUUUAUACUAGUUUUGAAAUUAAGAUUGUAGUUUUUAUUUUGUCCAAAUCUAAUUUGGAGGGAGAAUCUUUAGAGGCUAUUUUAUAUUCAAAUAGGAAAAUUUUAAAUUUAAUAGUCCCACCUUAUAAAGGCAAAUAUCUUGGACCCUACAUGGGUGCCUCUUACAUGCAAAAGGACAAAGACUUAUUGAAAGCCUCUCUCAUUCACAUGGAUGCCAUCAUUCAUCAAAGUUGAAACAUGAAACCCACACAAAAGCAAUUUCAAUAUUUUUUUUCAUAACUAUAGCUGAGAAUCUCAAUAUUAUUAAAUAGUGACAAAAUUAAUUUCAAUAUUUUUUUUUCUUAUUUUUUGCUCCUUGUGGUUAUAUUUUCAUCUGGAAAGUAUUAAAUAUAUUAAAAAAGAAAAAAAUUAUAAAAAAAUUUUUUUCCUAGUUAAUUAUACUAUGAAAAAUAUAGAGUAAAAUAAAAUAUAAUUAAAAUUAGUUAAAAAAUUAUAUUUUUAUAAAAUUAUUUGACUUUUUUAUAAAAAUUUAAAAUAAGUGACAUGAGUUUGAAAUAGUAUAUAUAUUGACUUUAAUUCUUUCAAAUUAAUCACUAGGUUGUUAGAGACAUACACCUAUGAUCCAAAGGUUUUCCCAACAAAGAUAUCAAUAAAUCUUUCUACUCCAUUGAUUGCAUCUUGAAUUCUUUCAAAUUAAUCACUUCAUUGUAAUCAUUAUUCACUUCAUUGUGAUUUGUCAGACAACAAUUCAUUUCUGCUUCAUGGUUGGACCUUGAGGUAAGGCUUUAGAGGCAUAAGCCUCAAAAGCCUCUUAAAAUUGGUUCUACACUUCUUGCAUGAUGAAUGCAAGUUCCAAAUUUUGAUGACUUGGUAAUGUUGGAGUAAUUGGGUUGAAAGCAGUCAAACACAAAUAUUUAUUAAAGAAGAUAAAAAUUUGGAAGAAUUAAAAUUUUAUUGUAUUCUACCACUCUUUUUUUUAUUCAAAUAUUACAUAAUCCUUUAUUAACUAAAAAUGACAUAAUUAAAAGUAAAUUAUCAUUUGAUUGCAAUGGAUUUAAUAGAAUAUGGUGGAUAUGCUAAAUUUUUGUCUGAUAAUAAAAUUUGAUUUGAGUGAAUAUAAUUAGAGUAAAAUAGUCUUUUUAACUAUCACUUUUACAAUAAAAAGUGUUUUAUUUAAACAAAUAUUUAAUAAAAUUUUAAAAACAUUUGAUAAAUAAUUAUUAUAAAAACUCUUCCUCGAAAAUACUUCAAAGUUCGUCGGAUGGUAAAUUAUACAUCAAGAUCUUAAUGAUGGUCCAUGCAACCAUCACCAUUGAUUGUUUUUGAAAACACAACUUCAAUUUAAAUAAUAUUUUAAGGUAACUCCUAGUUAUCAUAUUUUACAAGAUAUUUUUUAAAAUUAUUGUUUUUUUUCUUUCAAAAUCCUAAGAGAGAGGUCACCAAUAUCAAAAUAAUGUGACCCAUCUCUAUACUAUUGUCUCCAUUAUUUGGACUAUAUCAUAGUUUCCUUAUUGACAACAUGGUAGCCAUGUUAAAUACCUACAACUUUGAAAACAAGAUCUCAAAACUAUGCCUAUUUGAUUAUAAGGCUUAAUUAUUAUAGUUUAUCAUUUCCUAGCAUAUAUAGUUCUUAGCAUCUAAGUAUUUGUUAUAUAAGAAUUUUUCUCAUUUUUCAAGCUUGCAUUUUGUUUAGAAAUUUUUUGAGUUUUUUACAAUCAUUUUGAAAAUGUCAACUCAUAAUUAUAUACAUUUUAGUUCUAUAAGGACUAAAAUCACUUAACAUCAUGGUAAUACUAUUUAAGGUAAUUUGCUUUGAAUCAGAAUGAACUUAUAUACAACUUACGAUUUAUGGUAAUAAUAGAGAUCGAAUUUAAAAAUACAUAAGUUUUCAAUUAAAUAUUAAUAUAUUUAUGUUUCCUUCUUAUUUUUAAUCCUAAAACACAUUAAAUGUAUGCUCUUGAAUUCCUCCAUGUAAUGCGAUUUGAUAUAAUGAUAAAUCAACAAUUAUGAUUUAAUAAUAUGGUGCUUUGACUUUUGACAUUUAAGUAACACCGUCAAUAAAAGCUCCAUAUCUUUGCUUCAUGGAAGAACGUACAAAUGAUGUGAUUGAAUUACAUUUCAAUUAUGUUUGAUUCUUUGAAAAUACUCAAGAAAAAUAAAUAUUUAAAAAAAUAAUUUUCUCAUAUUUGAUUUUACUAUAAAAAAAAUACAUAAUUAAAAUUAGUAAUAAAUUUAAAUAAUUUUAAAUUACUUAAUCUUUAUAUAAAAAAGUUAAAUUAGUAAAACGAGUUUAAAACAUGAUAUAAAGGUAAUUUAUUGACUUUAAUUUUUUUUUUUUACUUCACUUUUUCUUUCCUUCUCUUUGAUGAGAUCAUCUUAGAUAAAUUGUUAAUUGAUUGCAGCAUAUUCAAUUGAAUUCGAUAGUCUAGGUAUCAUAAAUCAUACAUGUUGUGCACCAUUUACAGUAAAUGAACCGUCACAAACCAUACAUAGAGGAGAUGUUGAUUUCAUUAUAAAUCAUACGAUAAUUACAAAAGAUAUGAUAUUAACUUGCAGUAAAUUGCAACAUCGGCACUCUAAUGCUAGACAAAGUAACUAGACAAAGUAAGUCUAAUUAUUGCUAACUUUCCUCAUCUUUCUUGGGCCUUUUGGGUGCUUUUUGUGCAAAAGAGAAAAAGCUAUAACUAAAUUGCCAAUCCAUCACCGACGUUAUAGACUGAUGAAGAAUACCAAAGGGAGUGUUACGAAAUAAUGAGAAUAAAUAAUAAGAAAAAUAGAAUAAGAACACAUAGAUAUACGUGAAAAACUUUAGAUGGGAAAAAUCAUGAGAAAACGAGAAAAAGAUCCGUUAUGUCAAAAAUUGGUACAAAAUGGGAGAGUUGAAAGCGACUACAACAAAAGUAUAAUCAUCGUAACCCUAAAACUAUACAUCAUUAUUAUAUAUAUAUAUAUAUGUAUAUAUAUAUAUAUGCGAGAGUUGAGAACAACUAUGGGAUGAGGUCUAUCGACUCGAUCCCUUCACUACCCCCACAAAUCUCUCAAAAAAUCUCAUAAUUUUAACUUUACUACAUAUAUUGCAUCGCGAGCUUUUCGAAUUGAAUAAAAAAGAAUUUGGAAUCAUCAAACAGUAACAAAGGGAGUGAGAUCAUAACUUUGGAAGGAUUUUUUUUUUUUUUAAAUGUAGACUUGAAUGGUAAAUACUAAAAUGUGUUUGAGAGUGAUACUUGAAAGUAUUUUUAAUAUUUUUAAUAUUCGAAAAAUAAAAAAUUUUCAAAUAUUAAAAAUAUUUCCUAAAAUCAAUAUCAAAAACCAUUUUACAAAAUCAGUAUCAAACUAUCAAACAUAAUUUGAAUUUAAAUAGAGACAAGAACAACAUUGACUCUUGACUCACCAAACCAGUCCUAGUUCACUUAUUGAAUGAAAAGAAAAUAAUUAAAAAUAAAUAACAGCAUCCAUUCUACCAUGUUAUGAAGAGUAAAAGACAAUGGAGAUUUUAACUUUGUUGCCUUAAAAGUCAUGCCCCCUUUCAUGAGUAUAUAUAAUAAAAUAUAUUCGUUUGCAUCUCUUGAAUGCAAAUAAUUUGAUAAUUUUUUUAUAAUUAAUUUAUGAAGAUAACAAUUUGAUAAUUAGACAAUUAUGUUGAUAUUUUGACAUUAUUAUCAAUUUACCAAAUAAGAUUGUUUUUCACCCAACAAUAAUUUACUUAGAAUAAUAAAUAAAUUAAAUUAGCUAACGUAACCAAAGCAUUUGAUUAAAAAUUGGUUUUCAUUUACAAAGAUAAGUUGAAAAUUAAUUUUAAUUUGAUUUAAUUAGGAAAUUAAUUUUUUGCUUGUUAAGUUUGUUUUAAUUUGUAAAUUCAUGUAAAUAAAAAAAAGGAUAAAAAGAUAAUUUUCAUGUGAAAAUUCAUUUAAUUUGAAAAUAAAUGAUGUAAUGUGUUUCAUUGUCGGUUAGCAUUUUUCUUUUUUUCUUGUUUGUAUAACUUUUUAAAAUGUAAAAGAUAAUAAUAAAAUAAGAAAUAAUCAAUAAAUUAAAAAAAUAAAAUAAAUGAUCUCACUAAAAAUGUUUUUUUACCUUAUGUCAUAUGACUUGGAUUAUUUUUUUUCUCUUUUCAGUAAAACAAACUUUUAAUAUAAAUAAAAAAAUAAAAUAGGACAUAGAGGAAAAUAGCUAAAGAGUAUAAAAAAAAUUCAAAAUAAUGCACUAAAAAUGGAAAGAGAAUAUGGUGAGUAGUUGAAUAAUAAUAAAUAAAAAAAAGUCAAAAAAGCUUCAAUACUCUUUGAAUCCACUGUUAGUGAAUGCCAAAAGGCAUACAUCAUACACGCAACUAGAAAUAAAAUGGUAAAAUAUAAAGAAAAGAGUCAGAAAAAGCACGAAGACUACAAUUAAUAAUCGUGGCAGGACUUCGACUCUCGUGAACCCCCCACUGUCACUCAAUGCUAUAGGGUUACAGGCUUGGAGCCAAUCAAAGAUAAUUGAGACAGAAGAACCAGACAUCCUCAACACCAUCGUCUCAGACUCUCAGCAUUCAAAGACCCCUUUGUAUUUUCUUCUUCCAAAUUCUGUUCUUGUAAUUUUGUUACAAUCCAACCAUGGCUUCCACUAGCAAUCCCAAGAGACCCUCUUCUUCUUCUAAUUCUAAAUGGAGGUACGAUGUGGUCUUGAGUUUCAGAGGCGAGGAUACCCGCAACAACUUUACUAGUCAUCUCUACAAGGCUUUGGAUCAUGCCAACAUUGAAACCUUUAUAGAUGAUGAAGGACUUCCAAGGGGAGAAGAGAUUGCGCCCGAGCUCCUAAAAGCUAUUGAAGGAUCAAGGAUUGCCCUUAUUGUCUUCUCGAAAACCUAUGCUCAUUCCAAGUGGUGCUUGGAUGAACUCGUCAAGAUCAUGGAGUGCGAGAAAGAAAAGGGACAACAGGUUUUUCCUAUUUUCUAUCAUGUAGAGCCGUCUGAAGUCAGGAACCAGACUGGGAUUUAUGGAGAAGCAUUUAACAAUCACGAAAGAAAUGCAGACGAGGAGAAGAAGAAGAAGAAGAUAGAGCAGUGGCGGACUGCCUUAAGGAAAGCUGGUAAUUUGAGUGGAUUUCCUCUGCAGGAUAGGUAAUCCCUACUUCACUUUUUCCAUUCCCAAUUUUCUGUCAGUUUAUUUUCAUUCUUGUUAAUAAAUAAAAUAUUUAUGAUUACAUUUAUCAAUCAAAAUCCAUUUUUAAGUAGUAGACAUUAAUAUGUUCGAUUUCUUGGAAAGUAAUAAGAAAGAGUAAAAAAAAAAAAAAAAAAGAUUUUCUCACAUUUAAUUUAUUAUUAAAAUUAUAAAAGGAAAUCAAAUAUAAUUAAAAUAUAUCAGAAAAAAUUAUAUUUGCCCAGCAGGUGGAAAUGCCAAGUUUUGAAUUGUUAAAAAUCUUUAAGAUUCCAAAAUAUUCUUCCUUUCUAAUCGAUCCAUCUUAGCCAUAAUUUCUAUCAGUUAAAAAAAAUGGUAGUCUGUCAAAUAAAUUGUUAAAAUUGGUUAUUUAUAUGCCUUGUAAAUUUGGAGAUAAUCUGAGAUGAUUAUUUAAAAUAUUGUAAUACUACCCUAAAUUUUUUUGGACCCUCUUAUGGGACAAAAAACUUAGUUAUUGCACCCUUAACCUUUUUCAAUUUUAGAGGAAUUUUCCAUUACUUAAAUAAUUUUCUCUUCUUCUCUGUGCACUACAUGAGUUUACAUUUCUUCUUUACUUAAUAUUGUUUGUUCCUCUAUAUUUGCAAGUUGAUUAUUAAAUUUAUUUACCUUUUAAUCUAAUGUUUGUAUCUCGUUUUAUUCUAAUUAUCCCAUGACUCUUCUUAAGACCUUGUCUUUCACGUUGAAUCAUCUAAUGCUAAACUUAUUCCCUUACUAUUCUACUUUGUGUACUCAUGGGAUUAAUGUAUUGCAAUCAAAAUUAUUUUUUUUAAUCUCUUUUUCUCUUGUAUGUUCUACAUUCCUCUAUACCUCACAAAUAAAAGCAAGUAACCUUACAGCUUGUUUGACAAUAUAUUUGCAACUAAUGUUCAAAAAAUAGUUUUCCCCAACACAAUGUUGAAAAUAAUGAACAAAAUUUUAUUUGAAAAUUCAAAUAUGAAGAACGACUUUCUCGACUUAUUAACUAUGAAGGUGCUAUAAAUUUUUGUACAACAUAACAAUUCUCUAAGUAUUAUCUAUAUUUUCAAUUCUUUAUCACAAUACUCUAUAAGAAAAUACCUAAAAACAUUUCAAAUAUGCUCUUAAAAAUGAACUUGUUUACCAAACAAAUUUUUGAAAAUUAUUUUUAAUAAAAGAAAAAAUUAAAAAUAUAAUCAAGUGACAUGAAAUAUGGGAUGAAAAAUAAUAAGUUCUGUAUAUUAGAUUGACUAUACACACAGUUUAUAUUGGAUAUUACAAGAGAAGAAAUAAGAAACAAGAGACAUAAUAGAAAACUAACUUAUUCAUAAACUAACUUAUUCCUAAAUCAUAAAACUAUCUAUUUACAAAAAUAAAAAACUAAUAUAAUAUGAAAAUAAUUCUCCUAUUCUAUUUACAGCUCAAUUACAACCUAUUUACAGCUCAACACUCCCCCUCAAGCUAAGGAAUAGAUGUCUUCCAUUCCAAGCUUGAAUACAAGAUCGUGAAACAUUGAACUGUUCAGCCCUUUUGUUAGGAUAUCAACUAAUUGAUGUUUUGAUGGAACAUAGGACAUACACACUACUCCUUCCUCCAAUUUUUCUUUGAUAAAAUGCCUAUUAAUCUCAAUAUGUUUUGUCCUAUUGUGUUGUAUAGGGUUAUGAGCAAUAUUGAUAGCUGACUUGUUGUCACAAUAGAGCUUCAUAUGACCAUCCCACUUGAUUCUCAAAUCAUCUAGAAUAAUCUUCAGUCAAAGUAGUUCAUACAACCCUUGAGCAAUGUCCCUAAACUCUGAUUUUGCAGACGACCUUGCUACCACAUUCUGCUUUUUACUUUUCCAUGUUACCAGAUUACCUCGAGGAAAAGUACAAUACCCUAUAGUUGAUCUUCGAUCCACUAGGGAACCUGCAUAGUCAACGUCAGUAUAUGCUUCUAGAGUAAGAGUAUUGUUCUUUUUGAACAAAAUUCCUUUCCCGGGGUUGCCUUUCAAGUAAUGCAGCACCCUGUAAGCAACUUGAAGAUGAGGUUCUCUUGGAUCAUGCAUGAAUUGACUGAUCACGCUCACCGAGUAGGCGAUGUCUGGCAAGUGUGAGCAAGGUAUAUGAGCCUACCAACUAGCCUUUGGUACAUUCUUUUAUCCACCACUGGUUCUUCUUUAGCUUCUCCCAACUUGUGAUUUGGAUCCAUUGGGGUAGAGACUAGUUUACACCCAAUCUUCCUUGUUUCUGUCAAUAAAUUAGUCACAUACUUUUGUUGAUAGAUGAAGAUCUCUUGUGUGGAAUAUGCCACCUCAAUAUUGAGGAAGUGCUUUACUUUCCCUAGUUCCUUUAUCUCAAACUCUGUUGCUAAUCUUUGCUUCACUUCAUGCUUUUCUCUCUCAUCAUUUCCAGUCAUUAUGAUGUCGUCAACAUAGACUAGAAAAGCAAUUACUCCCCCUGUAGCCGAGUGCUUAAUGAAGAGAGUGUGGUCACCUUGGCUUUGCUUGUACCCAUACUCUUUCAUGACUUUUUCAAAUCUCUCAAACCAAGCCCUAGGAGAUUGUUUUAGCCUAUAAAGGGCCUUUUUCAGCCUACACACCUUGUUACCUAUGUUUCCCUCAAAUCUUGGUGGGAUGUUCAUGUAAAUCUCUUCAUCUAAAUCACCAUGAAGAAAUGCAUUCUUAACAUCAUACUAUAGGAGUUGCCAAUUGUAGUGGGUAGCCAAGGACAGUAGGAUUCUUAUAGUAUUCAUUUUUGCAACUGGAGCAAAAGCCUCCUGAUAAUCAACUCCAUAAGUUUGAGUGUACCAUUUGGCUACCAAUCUUGCUUUAUGUCUCUCAAGAGAUCCAUCAGUCUUAUAUUUCAGCGUGAAAAUCCACUUGCAAUUAACAAUGUUUUUCCCUUUCGUCUUUCAACAAUCUCCCAUGUUUUAUUAUUUUCUAAUGCAUUCAUCUCCUCUCUCAUAGCAUCCUUCCAUUCCCUUUUUGUCAAUACCUCAGAAACAGUGUUAGAGAUGAUAGUGGUGUUUAAACUCACAAUGAAAUUCUUGUGGGCUAGUGAUAGGUGCUUAAGAGACACAUAGUGUGAUAGUGGAUAGAGUGGUUAAUUAGUGCAUUAUCCGGUGCCUUUUCUGACAGCAAUGAGAAGGUCUAGGUCUAGGUUGUCUGUUGAGUCAAUGGAAGUUUCACCAAGUUGUGUAUGUAAAGGUGGGUCUAAUCUUACCGUGAUUUCAUUCCUAGGAUUUGAGUUGGAUUCUUGGACCUGCUAUUGUUCUGGAAUGACCUUUUCCCUUUAAUACAUCUUAGGAAACUGUGGAAAAUUACAAGUGACACUGGUUGGAAUAGGGAAUGACACGGGUUUAGUGGUAAAAUUGGGUGACUCAGGUGUGAUUAGUUCGGAUGACUCAAGUUCUUCAUCACCAUGGGUUGAGACAUGAGGAAGGUUAAGAGGUUCAAAGGAGUCACAAGGACUAUCCUCCAUCAUUGAAAUCUCCCCCUAAAUAGAGGACUUGGGAAAAAAGGUUUAUUUUCUGUGAAGGUGACAACUGCAGAGAUGUAAAAUUUUCUGGCUAAGGGAUUGUAACACUUGUAUCCUUUUUGAGUAGAUGAGUAAACCAAGGAAGACACAUUUUAUGGCUCGGGGGUCUAGCUUGUCUCUAUGAUGGUUGUGGACAUGAACAAAUGCAAUGCAUCAAAAUACACUAGGAGUGAGCCCAUAUGAGGUUCUAAAGUGUGGAUAGAAACUCUUAAGUAUCUCUACGGGGCUUUUGUUGUCUAACACUUGUGAGAGAAUUCUAUUUAUCAUGUAUGUGGCAGUAAGAACAGCUUCCCCCCAAUAGGACUUAGGAACAUUCCCUUGAAAGAGUAAGGCUCGGGUUGUGUUGAGUAAAUGCCCAUUUUUUCUCUCGGGUAUCCCAUUUUGUUGGGGUGUGUUAACACAUGAUGAGUCAUGGAGAAUGCCCUGUGAUUGAAAAUUGGGUGACAAAGUAUGGUUAAAGUAAUCUCUAGCAUUGUCUGUCUUAAAACUUUUUAUUUUAACCCCAAAUUGGUUUUGAACCAUUGAGUGGAAAUUAGGUAUAACAAUGCUAACAUCAGAUUUUUGUUUAAGAAGAAAGAUCCAUGUAAUCUGAGUGCAGUCAUCAAUUAAGGAUACAAACCAACGAGCCCCAUAAACAUUAGGUAUAGUCGAAGGACCCCAUAUGUCACUAAGAAUCAAAUGAAAAGGAUGAGAACUUCUUUUAUUGCUAAUAGGAAAAAAUUCACGAGUAUGUUUUGUCAAUUCACAAGUUUUGUAAUGAAACUUAGAAAUAUCUAAUCCUUGAAACAAAUGAGGAAACAUGACCUUUAAAACCCUAAAAGAUGGAUGACCUAGACGUAGGUGAUACAACCAAAUGGUAUCUUUAUUUAAGGAACUCUAAAAAGACACACAAAUUAUUACUAGUUUUCUGAGAUGAUUCAAGGUGAUAAAGACCGCUCAUUUCCUUAGCAAGUCCAAUCCUCCUUCCCGAGCCUUGUUCCUGAAAAACACAAUAAGAAUGGAAAAAAAUAGCAGAACAUUUAAGAUCAUGGGUAAGCUUUUGAAUGGAAACAAGGUUGGCCGACAAUUUUGGUACAUGGAGGACAUUUUUAAGAAUAAGGGUAGGUGUGAUAUAUAUGUCUCUGAAACCUGCAACGGUAACUAAAAAGCCAUUGGCCAUUGCAAUUUUCUUGUUACUUGGGUUUGAGGUAUAGGUAUGGAAAAGUUGAGAUUUGGAGGUCAUAUGGUCUGUGGCACCGAAGUCUAUUAUCCAAUAGUCAUUAUAAACCUUGUGUGAGGCAUUUAUGCAAAAUGAGAGUGAAGGUGUACCUGAAUUUUCCAACAUCUUCCACGAAAAAAAAAACCUGAUCUCUUGGGAAUUAAGGUAGAUCGCGAAACAAAAAAACCAGCAACAAUGAAGGUUGGUAAAAGAACACGUGAAUAAAAAAAAUCUAACUAUGAAGGCCAGAAAAAUGGCGAUGAAGGCCAGAAUGAUGCCCAGGUCUUAAAAACCUACUGCUCUGAUACCAUGACACGAAAUGUGGGAUGAAAAAUAAUAAGUUUUGUAUAUUAGAUUGACUAUAUACAUAGUUUAUAUUGGAUAUUAUAAGAGAAGAAAUAGGAAACAAGAGACAUAAUAGGAAACUAACUUAUUCCUAAAUCAUAAAACUAUCUAUUUACAAAAAUAGGAAACUAACAUAAUAGGAAAAUAAUUCUCCUAUUCUAUUUACAGCUCAAUUACAACCUAUUUAUAGCUCAACAUUAAGUUAUAAAACUAUUUUAUAUUCUAAAGAAAAAAAAAAUCUAUUUUCAAAAACAAUAUCUAUAUAAGCAUUUUUCUUUUAAGUAUGAUUUUAAAAUGUUUUUCCAUGAGUCUAAUUGUUGCUAGGAUUUUGACCAAUAAACAAAUAUGUGUGACUUUCCUCGUCAUUGUAAUUUAUAUUUGGGAAAAAAAUGGGGAUUUCAUCAAAAUAUGAAACUUAUGUAACAAUUAUUAGCAACCUAAAUAUAAAUAAAACUAAAACGGAGAAUUUACUUGUUUAUGGAAUAAAUAGUUGAAAAUUUUAUAAGCAUUGAGGAUGGUCAUAAAUCAUGUUGUAAUUAAUAAAAGCAUUUCUAGGUUAUGGAACUUGGGUGGCAAAUUGGUAGAUUUCUAGCCAAACUAGUAUUUGUCUCUAUAAUAAAAUCUCUUAUCAUAAAGGGUAAUGAUACUUUAGAAAGGUCAACUUCAAAUUGGGCCUUUAGAAGCAAUUAAGAUAUUUACAUUAUUUUAUUGCAUGUAUACUUGACAUGACAUAAUGAAAUUUUAUUUAAACAUGCAAUUCAACACAUUUUUAAUUUACAUUCUAUUUGACCUUAAUUUAAUGGCACCGAACGAAACUAAGAAUCAUUCUAUAAUUUCCAUUUACUUCAUCUUUGUUUUCUUUGACAAUUGAUUGUAGCUCACUGCAUGUUUUAUUGUACUUUAUAAUGGACAGAUUUGAGUCAGAGUUUAUUCAAGAAAUCAUUGGUGAGAUUCGAAGAUUAACUCCUAAGUUGGUACAUGUUGGUGAGAACAUAGUUGGAAUGGAUGAAAAUUUGAAAGAGGUGGAGUUAUUGAUAAACGCCCAAUCAAAUGGAGUGAGCAUGGUUGGGAUUUAUGGGAUUGGUGGGAUUGGUAAAACUACCAUUGCCAAGGUUGUUUACAAUGAUAUGUUAGAUCAAUUUCAACGUCACAGCUUUCUUGAAAAUGUGAGGGAGAAAUCUAAAGAUGAUCAUGGUUUGCUUGAAUUACAAAAAAAACUUCUUUGUGAUAUCCUAAUGGAGAAAAAUCUGAAGUUAAGAAAUAUUAAUGACGGUAUCAAAAUGGUAAAGAGGAAGUGUCGCAUUGAAAAGGUUCUCAUUGUUCUUGAUGAUGUAGAUUGUCAAAAACAAUUAAAAUUCUUAGCUCCUAAUUCUGAAUGUUUUCAUCAAGGAAGCAUAAUCAUCGUGACCACGAGAAAUAAACGUUGCCUAGAUGUACAUAAGUCAUAUUCAUCAUAUGAGGCUAAGGGAUUAGCACACACGCAAGCUAAGGAACUCUUUUGUUGGAAUGCCUUUCAGCAAGACCAUCCCGAGUAUGAGGACCUCUCUAAUUGUAUACUAGAUUAUGCUAAAGGCCUUCCAUUGGCUCUUGUAGUUUUGGGUUCUUUUCUCUAUCAAAGGGAUGUGGAUUACUGGGAAAGCACACUGCAUAAACUAAAAACAAACCCUCUUGAGGAUAUUCAAAAGGUACUCCAGAUAAGUUAUGAUGGACUAGAUAAUAAAUGGAAGGAGUUGUUUCUUGAUAUUGCAUGUUUCUUCAGAAAUGAGGAUAAAAAAGUUGUUACAAGAAUACUAGAAGGUUGCAAAUUCCAUCCUAAGUCUGGACUAACGGUUCUUCAUGAGAGGUGUCUUAUUUCUAUAACAGACGACACCAUAAGGAUGCAUGACUUGUUACAAGAAAUGGGUUGGGCAAUUGUUCGCCAAAAUUUUCCAGAACAUCCUGAAGAAUGGAGCAGAUUGUGGGAAUUACAGGAUAUUAAAAGUGUUUUACCACAAAAUAAGGUAGGAGAAAAAUACAUGAACUUACUUGAGAUCUAAAGACAUAUAAAAGAUUCAACAAGAAUUAUUUUUAUUAUUAUUAUAGUUUUGAGUAUCUUAUCUAUAUAAUUUUAGUGAAUCCCUAUGCAUCUUAUAUUGCUUAUUCUCAAUGCUUGUUUUCAGGGGACAAAAAACAUAGAGGGGAUAUCCAUAAAUCGGUCUUGGGAUAGUAAAAAACGUAUACAACUUACUGCUGAAGCUUUCAGAAAGAUGAAUCGACUUAGAUUGCUCAAAGUUAAAGGCGAUAUGGUGCAGCUUUCCUAAGACUUUGAAUUGCCUUGUCAUGAUUUAGUAUAUUUUCAUUGGGAUAACUACCCUUUGGAAUAUUUGCCAUCAAAUUUUCAUGUAGAAAAUCCUGUUGAACUUAACCUCUGGUACAGCAACAUAGAACAUCUUUGGGAAGGAAACAUGGUAUUGCUAUUAUUUAGUUAUAUUUUUGCUCUAGACUAAUUUUAAAGUCUUUUGAAGUUUACUUAUUGAAACGAAUUUUCUUCUGUUACAGCCUGCUAAAAAGUUAAAAGUCACUGAUCUUAGUUAUUCCAGGCAUCUGGUUGACAUUUCAAACAUCUCAAGUAUGCAAAAUUUGGAGACUCUAAUUCUAAAAGGUUGUACAAGGUUACUUAAGUGUUUCACCCAUGCUUAAUGUUAUUAUUAGUCAUGAACUAACUGUUUUCUUGAAUAUAAUAGGAUGCAAGAGACUUGAGAGUCUUCCAAGGAACUUUCAUAAGCUGGAAUGCCUUCAAACACUCUCUUGUGAUGGCUGUUCAAACUUAAAAGUUUUCCGAAGAUCAAGGAAGAAAUGAGAAGUCUAAGAAAGCUUAAUUUAAGUCAUACAAGUAUAAUGGAAUUAACAUCAUCAAUUAGGCAUCUAAAUGGGCUUGAAGAGUUGGACUUAAGUAAUUGCAAAAACCUUUUGAGUCUUCCGGACAGUAUUGGUAGUUUGAACUCUCUUCAAACUCUCGAUCUAGUUGAGUGUUCAAAACUAGUGGGUUUUACAAAUAUCAAUAUUGGAAGUCUAAAAGCUCUUGAAUAUUUGGAUUUGUCAUGGUGUGAGAACCUUGAGAGUCUUCCAAAUAGUAUUGGUAGUUUGAGCUCUCUUCAAACUCUUUUAUUGAUAGGGUGUUCAAAAUUGAAGGGCUUUCCAGAUAUCAAUUUUGGAAGUCUAAAAGCUCUUGAAUUGUUAGAUUUCUCACACUGCAGAAACCUUGAGAGUCUUCCUGUGAGCAUUUACAAUUUGAGCUCUCUCAAAACUUUGGGGAUUACAAAUUGUCCAAAACUCGAGGAAAUGUUAGAGAUUAAAUUAGGGGUUGAUUGGCCAUUUUCACCUCUAACCUGUCACAUUUCAAAUUCAGCAAUAACCUGGUAUGAUGACUGGCAUGACUGCUUUUCCUCAUUAGAAGCAUUAAACCCACAGUGCCCCCUGUCAUCACUGGUAGAAUUAUCUGUAAGAAAGUUUUAUGGCAUGGAAGAAGACAUCCUCAGUGGCAGUUUCCACCUAUCCUCAUUGCAAAUAUUAUCUCUAGGGAACUUCCCUAGCGUGGCAGAAGGAAUCCUCGAUAAGAUUUUCCAUCUAUCCUCGUUGGUAAAAUUAUCUCUUACUAAAUGCAAGCCAACGGAAGAAGGAAUCCCUGGUGAUAUUUGGAACCUAUCUCCACUGCAACAAUUAUCUCUACGUGACUGCAAUCUAAUGGAAGGAAAGAUCCUCAAUCAUAUUUGCCAUCUAACAUCCUUGGAAGAAUUAUAUCUGGGUUGGAACCAUUUUAGUAGCAUACCUGCUGGCAUCAGUCGACUUUCUAAUCUAAAGGCCCUUGACUUGAGUCAUUGCAAGAACCUUCAACAAAUUCCAGAGCUUCCAUCAAGUCUACGAUUUUUAGAUGCGCACUGUUCGGAUGGUAUUUCAUCAAGCCCCUCGCUUCUACCUAUUCAUUCUAUGGUCAAUUGCUUCAAAUCAGAAAUUGAGGUAUGAUUCUCAUGCCACGUUCCUCUUUCUUUUGUACCCAUUGAAUUUACAUGGUGCUUUUGUGCAGGACCGCAAGGUUAUUAAUCAUUAUUCUUACUUCUGGGGCAAUGGAAUUGGUAUUGUUAUUCCUAGAAGUAGUGGAAUUCUAGAGUGGAUAACAUAUCGGAAUAUGGGAAGGAAUGAAGUAACAGUAGAGCUCCCUCCGAAUUGGUAUAAAAAUGAUGACUUGUGGGGAUUUGCUUUAUGCUGUGUUUAUGUUGCACCUGCCUAUGAAUCUCAGUAUGAAUUAGGUCAUAUAUCUAAGGAUGACGCUGAACUUGAAGAUGAAGGACCAGGGUUCUGUUGUGAUUUGAGUAUCGAAGGAAAUAAUCAAUCAGGAGACGUGGGUUUUUUCCUUCUUUAUUCUUGCUGUGUUAAAUAUGAUGUGUCAGAUAUGCAGUGGGUGAUAUGUUAUCCCAAGUUAGCUAUUGAGGAAAGUUAUCACACCAAUCAAUGGACACACUUCAAGGCUUCAUUUGGUGGUGCCCAAGUGGAAGAGUGCGGAAUCCGUCUUGUAUACACAGAAGAUUAUGAACAGAAGCAUCCAGCAAUGGCACAAGGCAGUACUUCUCAUGGGAAUUUUGGUGAGCAUGGAUCGGUAAGAGAAGAUACUGAUAGUAAGCUCACAAUAAAAGGAAUCCCACAGAACAGAGCCCAAGAGAGGAGUCACACCAUAAAAGAUCCAUAGAAACCCAAGACUGAUCCCAAGUAUUAGGCUCAACCACACUUGCAUCACUAAUGCUAUCUUUACUGGUAAUUCAUCUUCCUUUCUCUUUCUAAUUCAAAGGUCAGAAUUUUUUUUUAUCGUGUUUCUCCUUUUUAUUUGUCUUUUUCCCCAAGACAAACAAAACUUUGAGGCUAUCACCCAUGGGCGCAAACUUCAAUGGUACACCUCCCAAGUUUGUUUUUCUCUCUCUCCAACCGUCUUUCCCUAGAUUUUUCUGCAUUUUCUUCAAACCCAUAUUUCCAUAUGAAAUUCAAUUACAUUCGAGCAUUUCAAUCUCUGUAGCUACUGUCUGAAUCAUUUAUAGGGUUUCUUUUUUCUGGAAGUUUGUAAUGUUAUUGAUUUAAGACUUCAUGUUUGGGGAUGUUUUGGGUGGCUUGUUCACUGGUAUUAAUUGUGAUAAUUGCAGCUCUGGUGCUUUCAAUGACUUUGACAAUAGUCGAAACUAUGUUGAAUGCUUGUACCAAGGGAAUGGACUUCAGUUGCUCUAGGGUUAGUGCUAUAACAUCAGUAUUCACUCUUCAAGAAUGUAUAUAGUUGUUGUUUUGGAAUUUUGAAAUUACUUAGCAUCAGACAAUUUCUAACUCGGGAUUUGGAUUGGGAACCAUAAGUUAUCAUUAGAGAGUGUAUGAGAAGGAAUUUUAGAGUGAGAUGGGUGAUGCAUGUUGAGGGAUGAAAGAGGGAUGUAUCUCACCCUAGAGUUCUUUGGAAUAAUUAUAGGAUUUUGUAAGUAACUUUGGACUUACUUGCAAUGUUCUGGAUUUGUGAAUAAUUUAUAGAAUGCAUUGGGUUUUUUUUUUUUGUUUUUUUUUUUGGUCCAUAAGAAACUAAAAGAACUUUGAGAGUGAAUAAUGUAUGACUGUACUCUUCUCUAUCUCUCUGGUCAUAGCACACGUAUGAUUUGGUACUUUUUUGCAGGCUUCAACAGCAGCAAAGCAUCUGGUGGCUUGCAGUACUAAUCUUACAUUAUAUUCUCUGUUUUGCAAUCAUUUGGUACUUUUUGUCCCAACCAAGGAUAGCUCUGUGCAACAGUCUCGACUGUGGAACAAGUAAAACAAAUGGUACCUGCUGAAGCUGAGAGGGCAGAUAAUAAAUUGGUGCGGAAGGUGGUCAACCAAAAGAAUCAGACAGCAAAAACUAAAAAAGCCGAUGAAGCCUGCUACUGAAGCAGUCUCAGCACCUGUUUCUAGGAGGGGUGAGAUUGAAGUGACUGAAGAAAAGGAGCGUGAGCAAACAAAGAAGGAAGAGGAGUUGGCCAGGAAGGUAGAGGAAUUGAGAAGUGAAGAGGAAGCAGCCAUGUUGAAGGAGAAAAGUCUGUUGGAGGAGAAAGCCAACGUUAAGAAGGCAUUGGAAAGGAAACAAGGAACUGCAGAAAAGGCCAAUUUCUCUGUGAGUGCUGCCACCUUUUCGUGAUACAGCCAUAAUAAUGGAUGUUAAAAGCAGUCUAACUCUACAUGGCGUUUAUUUUCCCCAGCCAUAGAUUGGAAUCUGCCAGUCUGACUCUCAUAAGAAAGAAAAUUUUCCAUCGAUCCUCGUAUGGAUUAUUGGAGAAGAUUUUAACAUGGAGUUCACAAGAGAGUUUCUAACACCCACUUAAAAGGACAUUUUAGAAAACUUAUUGAAAAAUAACAUGAGAGUACAUAAAUUUUUAGAUAUUUUUAAAAAUAUUUGAAAAUUUAAAUUAACUAAAAGUAUUUGAAAAAUAUUUGAUUGAAUUAACAAAUAUCAAGUAUUUGCAUAUGAAAAAAUAAUAAACAUUGUGAAGAAUUUUUUUAUUAAUUAGUGCAUAAUAAUUUUAUUUUCCUUUUAAUCACAAAUUAAUCUAUGGCAAAAUCUCAUAUUUGUUGUAGGGACAAUGUUGUCUUACAUUUUUCUUUCAUGAUGGACUCAAAUUUUAAUUUAAAUGUAGUAUAAAUAUAUAAUUAGAUUGAAAUUUCGUCCACUAAGAUUGAUUGGGUAUGAAUUUGAACCCUCGUUCGGGUCAUACUUCCAUCCAAUCCAAGCUUGUGGUUGGGCUUGAAUUUCUUGGCCCAACCAGUAAUGUCAUUGACCAAUAGCCCUUAGUUUGGGCUGGGCUUGAUGGUCCUCAGGCUAUGCAGACUUAAUACUCAUUGGGUUUGGGAUUCCAUGUAGUUGUAAUUAGAUUCUAUGUUUCCUAAUAUUAACACUAAAUUAGGUUUAAUUUAUAAUUAAAUAUAAUUAGAAGAGGAAAAUGAAAUAUCAUAUCCUUGCAAUGAGUUAUGUGGAUAUUUCAUUUAAAAAGUCUAAUGUGAAAGGUUGUUAUGGGUAGUCGUUUUUUGAUGCAAAUUUUCUAUGGAGUCCUAAUCUUAGAAGGCAAUAGAAAAUUCACAACCAAGAUUUCUUAAAAAUAACUACAUUAAAGUGUAAACAAAAUAUCAAACUAGAAUUUCUUAGAAAUAUCAAACUAGAAAGUGAAAUAUAAUACAAUUCAAGUAUGAAAAUGAAGGACAAAAGAAUAGACCAAAUUUGAAAGACCGUUCAAAGACUCGUUUCUUGUUACAAUCCAAUCAUGACUUCCACUAGUAGAGAUCCUCUUCUUCUUCUUCUUCUUCUAAUUCCAAAUUGAGGGACCAUGCGUUCUUGAGUACCCUCAAAAGCUUUUUUGAUCAUUUAUACUGUAUAACCUUACUUGUAAUAACUGUAUAAGAUAUUUGUGCUAAUUGAUAAGAUAUUUGUGCUAAUUGUAUAAAACAUGUCCUUAUACAUCUUGAAUUUAUAAAUUUAUGAAUUUAUGAAUAACCCAAUAAUCAAUGACUUCUUAAUAAAAUUUUUUUAAUUUUGUUGCCUUAAAAGUCAUGUCCCUCCUUUACAAAGCUUCUUAGAAAUUUCAUAUAUUUUUUUUUGUCAUCAUCUAUAUUUCAUAUUUCUUUUUCGUCUUCAAUAUUUGUGUAUAUAUCUAAAAUAAAACCUAUAAGAAAAUGAAAAAUUUACACUUAAAAAGUGUUUAUUUGAAAUUUAGGCAAUGAACUUAAAGGAGUUUGGAAUUACUCCUCGAAGUUGAUAUGUUUGUUUUAAAAUCAAAGUGGAUUUCAAUUUUCUUUAAAUCCACGUUAUGAUAUUACGGUAAUAUGUAGUGUCUUUAAAACCAUGGCUUCCUCUAGCAAUUCUAAGAGACCCUUUUACUCUUCUUCUUCUUCUAAUUCUAAAUGGAGGUACGAUGUGUUCUUGAGUUUCAGAGGCGAGGAUACCCGCAACAACUUUACUAGUCAUCUCUACAAGGCUUUGGAUCAUGCCAACAUUGAAACCUUCAAAGAUGAUAAAGAACUUCGAAGGGGAGACGAGAUUGCACCCGAGCUCCUAAAAGCUAUUGAAGGAUCAAGGAUUGCCCUUAUUAUCUUCUCGAAAACCUAUGCUCAUUCCAAGUGGUGCUUGGAUGAACUCGUCAAGAUCAUGGAGUGCAAGGAAGAAAAGGGACAAAAGGUUUUUCCUAUUUUCUAUCAUGUAGAGCCGUCUGAAGUCAGGAAACAGACUGGGAUUUAUGGAGAAGCAUUUAACAAUCACGAGAGCAAUGCAGACGAGGAGAAGAAGAAGAAGAUAGAGAAGUGGAGGACUGCCUUAUGGAAAGCCGGUAAUUUGAGUGGAUUUCCUCUGCAGGAUAGGUAAUCCCUACAUCGCUUUUUCCAUUUCCCAUUUUCUGUCAGUUUAUUUUCAUUCUUCUUAAUAAAUAAAAUAUUUAUGAUUACAUAUAUCAAUCAAAAUCCAUUUUUAAGUAGUAGACAUUGAUUAAUAUGUUUGAUUUCUUGGAAAGUAAUAAGAAGAGUUAAAAAAAAAUGAUUUUCUUAUAUUUAAUUUAUUAUUAAAAAUAUGAAAGAAAAUAAAAUAUAAUUUAAAUACAUUGGAAAACUAUAAUAGGAAUAAUAUUAGAUAAUGUAUGAUAGCUGUUGUGGGCUCAUUCAGUCACAGCAGGUGAUAACAGUCAAUAAAAUAAAAUAAUUAUCCCAAAUGCCAAGUUUUGAAUUGUUAAAAAUUCUUAAGAUUCCAAAAUGUUCUUAGUUUCUAAUCAAUCCAUUUCAGCCAUAAUUUCUAUCAAUUUAAAAAGAUGGUAGUUUGUCAAAUAAAUUGUUAAAAUUGCUUAUUUAUAUGCUUUGUAAAUUUGGAGGUAAUCUAGGAUGAUUAUUUAGAAAAUUGUAAUACUGCCUUAAAUUUUUCUAGACCCCUCUUAUGGGACAAAAAACUUAGUUAUUAAACCCUUUACCUUUUUCAAUUUUUGAGGAAUUUUCUAUUACUAAAAUAAUUUUCUCAUAUUCUCUAUGAACUACAUGAGUUUACAUUUCUUCUUUCCUUAAUAUUGUUUCUUCCUUUAUAUUUGCAAGUUGAUAAUCAAAUUUAUUUGCCUUUUAAUCUAUUGUUUGUAUCUCGUUUUAUUCUAAUUUUCCAUGACAUCAAGAUAAUUAAUCUCAUCUUAAGACCUUGUCUUUCACAUUGAAUCAUCUAAUGCUAAAAUUAUUCUCUUGCUAUUCUACUUUGUGUACUCAUGGGAUUGAUAUAUUGCAAUCGAAAUUGCAUUUUUUUUUCUCUUUUUCUCUAGUAUGUUCUACAUUCCUCUAUGCCUCAAUUACAAAUAAAAGCAAGUAACCUUAGAGCUUGUUUGACAGUAUUUUUGAAAAUAAUGUUCAAAAAAUAGUUUUCCCCUAGCCAAUUUUGAAAAUAAUGAACAAAAUUUUACUUGAAAAUUCAAAUAUGAAAAAUGUCUUUCUCGACUUAUUAACUAUGAAGGUACUAUAAAUUUAUGUACAAUUUAACAAUUCUCUAAUUAUUAUCUACAUUUUCAAUUUUUGAUCACAAUACUCUAUAAGAAAAUACCUUAAAACAUCUCAAAUGUGCUCUUAAAGAUGAACUUGUUUACCGAACAAAUUUUUGAAAAUAAUUUUUAGUAAAAAUGAAAAUUAAAUAUAUAUUUAAGUUAUAAAACUAUUUUAUAUUCUAAAGAAAAAAAUCUAUUUUCAAAAACAAUAUCUAUACAAGCAUUUUUCUUUUAAGUAUCAUUUUAAAAUCUUUUUCCAUGACUCUUAUUAUUGCUAGGCUUUUGACCAACAAACAAACAUGUGUCACUUUCCUUGUCAUUCUAAUUUAUAUUUGGGAAAAAAAUGGGGAUUUCAUCAAAAUAUGAAACUUAUGUAGCAAUUAUUAGCAACCUAAAUAUAAAUAGAACUAAAGUGAAAAUUUACUUGUUUACAAAAUAAAUAGUUGAAAGUCUUAUAAGCAUAGAGGAUGGUCAUAAGUCAUGGUGUAAUUAAUAAAAGCAUUGCUAGGUUAUGGAACUUGGGUGACAAAUUGGUAGAUUUCUAGCCAAACUAGUACUGGUCUCUAUAAUAAAAUCUCUUAUCAUAAAGGAUAAUGAUACUUUAGAAAGGUCAACUUCAAUUUGGACCUUUAGAAGCAAUUGAGAUAUUUUCAUUAUUUUAUUGAACAUAUACUUGACAUAACAUAAUGAAAUUUUAUUUAAACAUGCGACUCAACACAUUUUUAAUUUACAUUCUAUUUGACCUUAAUUUAGUUGCAUUGAAUGAAACAAAACACCAUUCUAUUAUUUCCAUUUACUUCAUCUUUGUUUUCUUUGGCAAUUCAUUCUAACUCACUGCAUGUUUUAUUAUACUUUAUAAUGGACAGCCCUGAGUCAGAGUUUAUUGAAGAAAUCAUUGGUGAGAUUCGAAGAUUAAUUCCUAAGUUGGUACAUGUUGGUGAGAACAUAGUUGGAAUGGAUGAAAAUUCGAAAGAAGUGAAGUUAUUGAUAGACUCCCAAUCAAAUAAAGUGAGUAUGGUUGGGAUUUAUGGGACUGGUGGGAUUGGUAAAACUACCAUCGCCAAGGUUGUUUACAAUGGUCUGUUAGAUCAAUUUAAGCGUCACAGCUUUCUUGAAAAUGUGAGAGAGAAAUCUAAAGAUGAUCCUGGUUUGCUUGAAUUACAAAAAAAACUUCUUUAUGAUAUCCUCAUGGAGAAAGAUUCGAAGAUAAGUAAUAUUGGUGAAGGAAUAAAAGAGAUAAAGAGUAAGUGUUGCUUUGAAAAGGUUCUUAUUAUUCUUGAUGAUGUAGAUUGUCUAAGACAGUUAGAAUUCUUAGCUCCUAAUUCUGAAUGUUUUCAUCGAGGAAGCAUAAUCAUCGUGACCACAAGAAAUAAACGUUGCCUAGAUGUACAUAAGUCAUAUUCAUCAUAUGAGGCUAAGGGAUUAGCACAUGAGCAAGCUAAGGAGCUCUUUUGUUGGAAUGCCUUUAAGCAACACCAUCCAAAAGACAAUUAUGUGGACCUCUCUAAUCGUAUACUGGAUUAUGCUAAAGGCCUUCCAUUGGCUCUUGUAGUUUUGGGUUCUUUUCUUUAUAAAAGGGGUGUGGAUGAAUGGGAAAGCACAUUGCAUAAACUAAAAACAACCCCUUUCAAGGAUAUUCAAAAUGUGCUCCAGAUAAGUUAUGAUGGACUAGAUGAUAUAUGCAAGAAGUUGUUCCUUGAUAUUGCGUGCUUCUUCAAAGAUCACAAUAAAGAAUUUGUUACAAGUAUACUAGAAGGUUGUGAUCUCCAUCCCAAGAUUGGACUAAAAGUUCUUGAUGAGAGGUGUCUCAUUUCUAUAUUGGGUGGCACUAUAAGGAUGCAUGACUUGUUACAAGAAAUGGGUUGGGCAACAGAUUGUGGGAAUAUGAGGAUAUUAAAAGUGUCUUUACAAAAAAUAUGGUAAGAGAAAAAUAUAUGAAUAUACUUGAGAUCUAGAUCUAAAGACAAAAGAUUCAACAGUCUUUAUUUUUAUUAUUAUUAUAGUUUGAGUACCUUAUCUAUAUAAUUUUAAUGAAUCCCUAUGCAUCUUAUACUGCUUAUUCUCAAUGCGUGUUUUCAGGGGACAAAAAACAUUGAGGGGAUAUUCAUAAAUUGUACUAAAGCAAAACCUAUACAAUUUACUGCUGAAGCUUUCAAAAAGAUGAAUCGACUUAGAUUACUCAAAGUUGAAGAGGAUAUGGUGCAGCUUUCCCAAGACUUUGAAUUGUCUUGUCAUGAUUUAGUAUAUUUUCAUUGGGUUGCAUACCCUUUAGAAUCUUUGCCAUCAAAUUUUCAUGCUGACAGUCUCGUUGAACUCAACCUCCAGUACAGCAACAUAAAACAUCUUUGGGAAGGAAACAUGGUAUUGCU
rnacentral:lncRNA from 1 species